GGGGGAGAAGGGGAGGGUUGAGGGGGAAGGCCAAAAAGGAUUGCAUCCACAAAUGUAAUUUGUUCCUUCAUGUGAUGAAUCAGGUUCCAGGUGCUUAUUCAAAAGCCACCUCAGUAGAAGCUUUGCCUGUACCUACGCAAAGGCUUUUUUCUUCUUUUUCUAAUAACUAUGAUAUUUAAUUUUGCUUUCCUAGUAUUUAUUAGAUGGCUAUGCAGUAAAAAAAUAUGAAUAGAGGAGAUUUAAUUAAGGAUUGCUACAGCUGCUGAGCCUUAGAAGACAAAAUACUGUAGUAGUGAGGACUGUGAAGUACCUCAAUAAAAGGUAAAGUGCCCAAUGGAGGAAUCAGCGUUGCCACUUAAAAUAUGGUAGCUAAAGAGGAAAAUUAGGAGGGUUCAAAGAUUCUUCUGUAUUCUUGCCUUUCCUAAAUCACAGUCUUCAAUAAUACAAGUGCAUGUAUAUCAAAGAAAAAAGGAAAGCAGAAUUGAGUAGCUUCUCAAACAGCUCUCUAAGGCCUGCCAUAUCUAAAUACUGAGAAUAGAAAUUGCCGAAUAAAAUUAAUACAGCCUGUUUGACAAAUCAUAUGCUGAUUUAUUUGAGUUUUAAUGUCCUGCGGGAGGGUUAUGUGGUAGAGAAAACAACUCAAAAAUAAUAGAAAUCCAGGAAACAUAUUGAAGAACUUUGUUAUGCAAGCAUGCUGCAUUUCAGGAUGUGUUGAUUGGACAGACCAAUGCCUGUAGUUUAGGAACUAAAUUUCAACUGAGUAAAUAAUAUUUCAUAUAUCCCUUAAGAUGUCUGACAUGUCAACCAUACAAAUUAGUAAAAUAAAUGUAAAUUUGAAGGAUAGCUACAAUUGCAGUCCAUGUUGAAAGAAUAAUAACAAAUGUAUUAUUCACCACAGCACUACUCUCUGGGGAUGUGGUAGUGCUGUAUCUACAUCCAGAAACACAAAAAGAAAGGAUGUAUUUUAGGGACGUACUCCUGAUUAUGGUUAGCUCUCUCUUCUUACACAACACAGCCUUUAUCCUGUGUACCUUUUGUCUUUGGCAGACCUACUGUGUCAGGAAAAUCUAUAACCCUGUUGACAAAGAAGCCAGACUGCUGUUGAAUCUGUCACUUUAUUAGACUGUAAGUGAGAUCCCUUCCUUGCACGCUAUGUCCAAACAAUCCUUGGCCUGCUGUUUUGGGAAGACUCUUAGAGUGCAGAGAAACCAUCUGUAACAGCAGGCAGACAUUCAGUGGAUGGAGGUAAAAUGGUGGGAAAAUAGAAUUGGGGGACAAACAGAGGAGAAGUGGGAAAGUUUAAGAACCCUGUGGUCUCAUCAUUCUCAGUUCACUAUCCGUAUCUACACAAUGCAUUUCAUAGGCAUAAAGUUCAGUCUGAUAAUGUGAAAGGCUAAUGUGAGAUGCUAUUGUACUCAGUCUGUAUGUUUUACAAAUUAUGAAACCCAAAGAACAAUCCCUAAAGUGUGGUUCUGUUACUGUACAGAAACAUCUACAUCUUGACUUAAUGGAGAUGUAAUCAUAUGCUCCUCAAAACAGAUAAAAUUGAACCUAAUGCACUUUUUAUUUAUUUAUUUAUUUAUUUUAAGAUUAACCUUACUUCCAAAGAAAGGAGGAAAAUAUGAAACUAACAGUAUAUAUACAGAGGCAAAAGCAUGGAUCCACUGGGUGUACCUGUGCUGCUGAACAGGGAGUGAUGAAGCAACCUUGUGCAUUUCCCAAGCUUGGAUUGCUCUAACUCCAUCUCUUAAAGACCAAAUUGGGUACUGGGUGGAGAGCUAAUCUGCUUCAAGAACUGCUUCAAAAAGGUUCUAUAGACAAAACCACAGCAGGAUGUACUCUUCCUACAUUACACAGUCAGUUAAGAACAUCGCAGAAGGCUUUGUGCUGGCAUAUACAUUUGCCUCCAGUUUCUUGAUCUGAAGGACCAAUCUUCUGAGCUGCAAAUAGUCCCUGCAUUAUGCUGUGUAACUGUGUCCCAGCAAAUUGUAUGGUGGAAGAGAUAGUGACAUGUAGGUAAACAGUUGUGUGGCCUCACCCAGCUCUGGAGAUCGUUAGCCUCAGGCAAAACAGGUAUUAGCCAUGCUUUGCCUUUGCUUUUCAGAGCAAGAGGUCUUUGACCAAGUGUUUCUUGCCCCAGUCUUGAUCUGGAUCUGAGGAAACCGAUUGUAAAUAAAAAGUUGAUCCUCCUCUGUCAGGAUGCAUAGUGCUUUCCUUUAUUCCAUGUGUCUUUUCCCUGGUGGAUGGUGCACCUUGCAUUUUCCAGUUUUGUGUUUGUCUUGUUACACAGGCAACAUGUGCUUGCACAAACACACACACAAAAGGUGUUUAACUGCUGUUUCUCUCUUUUCUCCAAAACCAAGAAAAUCUUUAACAGAACAUAAAGGAGAAAAUGUUGCUCAUAUUACAGGGAGGUUAGAACGUGUCUGUUUUCAAAUAAGAGUCACUGUGUGAGCUUAAAUCCUGCUGUGCCUCCAGAAGUCUUCUAUUUUAUGAUUUCAGUUCAUCUACCUUUUUUUUUUUCCUGAGAGAGAUGUUCUCUUUAUCCAAUGCCUGUAAAACACCCUUUUCCCCUGUUUUGAUAGUAAAUAUUUGGUGGCUUUCAUUUCUGAAAAAACGUGGCAGCCAUUGGUCCUCAGGUUCUGCUUUCUGAACAACACCCACAUAAGAAGAUUAAUAUGUAUUUUUCCUUUUGGAGGUUGAAAUGGGCUCACCUUUUCUUUCACAAGAUUGCAUUUAAUCAAGCAGCUGUGUGUGUUUGCUGGGUUUCAGCUGUUUUGUCACUCCAUAUGAUCAAGCUUCUUUAAUCUUCAGAGUCAUAUCCAAGGAAGAUGAAUUAUGCUGAUGCUCAGGUGUCUUUAAAAAAAAGCUCUAACAGAUUGAAUUUAGUCUCACUGAAAAUUCUGGAAAUCACAUUAUAUUGAAUGACUUUUAGGCAGGCUUGGACAAGAAUUUUCCUGCAUCGAGUUUUGCCGUCAGAGAUCAGCAGUUCCUCAAAAGCAAAGAGAAAGUUUUCAGGAAAUGUAUUUCGUGUGCAGUUGAUGGAGCUCAAUAAGAAACUGACAUCUACCAGUAAGUUGCCUGCUUUUUCAAGUUCAAUUAUGUCUUACUUUUCUGCCUGUUAGUAGAGCUGAUCACUGACUCAGGACUGUUUCCCUGAAUCUCUGCAUUUAACAUUUUAGAGCUCUGAGAGAAGGGAUGAAUGUAUACCCAGGAAUAAUUGGUGGAUAAACACUUGAUAAACUAACUUAGAAGUGUGGUUUUCUACUUAUCAACUCUAUGCAACAGCUUAAUUAUUUGAGUUGGGAACGACUGUGAAGUUUUAAUGAGCAAUCAAAAGUAUAUAGUUCUGAUUCUCUUACUUUAUUUUACUUCUAACUGGAGAGGAAUGCAUCCGUGCUUCAUGUUGUUGAACUGGAGACGAAUGAGAAUACUUCUAAUAAAUUAAAAAAUAAGUUUCAUUCCUGUAUUCAAAGGGGAGCUUAAUGAGUUUUUCGCACAGUAAACAGUAGUGAGUUUAUGAACAGUCCUACCAUGCUUGCGGUGAAGGCUAUGUAAAUUACACUGAUGCAUAUUUAUUCAUUUACUUCUUGUGGGAAUAGAUUUAGGGGGCUAUAAGCAUAUAUCAGAAUUUGUUACAGGGAAGGAAACUUAUGAGGAAGGCUUAUUAUCCCAAGAGUGGAAUUAAGGUGAAAUUAACAAGUAAUUGAAGUUAUCUUUGAUCAUGAUUUUUCAUUCCCUUCUUUUCCCUGCUCUGAGGAAGUGAAUAUUUUUGAUGUUCAGUAGAGCAGUACAAUGCUGCACAGAGAAGCAUAAUGCUGAAUUUUCAUAAUAAUGUUUGUAAUGCAAAUGAGGGACACUUCAAAAACAGGUUGAUUAGCAUUUCUUAAUAAAAUGCCAGUCUCCUCCUUUUUCUUCAUUAGUUCUAUCAGCAGAUUACAUGGCAAGAUUUUAACAUUAGUAAAUUUGAAGUGUGUGGUGGCUUCUUGUGAUAUAAUUAUUUGGUGGCUCUAAAUAGUUUCAGAUUGUGCGUUUAAAACAGCUCCUGCAGCACUAAGGCAUUACAGUGAAUUAAUGAGCAGUUUGUCACCUCUGGGACCUUUGCUUUGAAAUCCAGUCUGGCUUAAAGUGAACUCCUACCAUUGCAGGCCAGCAGCUGGUAAAAGGUUAGAAAAUGAAUGAGCUCCAGGGACAUCACUGAACUUCCACAGGAGCAUAUAUUUACUUUAGAGCUGCUUUUCAGAGAUCAAACCAAGGGAAGUAGAGCGCUGCUGUGCAGUUCCUCCCAAAGACAGCAUCAGCCAGCCAGCGUAUUCCCCAUGGCACUGCUCACUAUGUGCUCUCCUUUGCUUUCCUUUUCUACGAAGGGAGGCAUGGCAAUGAAAAAGCUUGACCAAAUGAAUUGCAUUCUCUUUCCUUUGUGUCAUUUAUUGGUUUUCCCCUUUUUAAUUGCCAUGCCUUCCUCCUUCCUCCUCGUCGUGUGCUUCAUUUUAAGUCAUUUCUCCUCCUCUUCAUCUCCUAAGUCCUGCUUUCCCCAGACCAUGUGCUUUUUAUAUUGACCUCUUCCUCUUUUGUUUCUCAAUGGGAGACCCAACAAGCUAUCUCAUGUUCCACACCGGGUGCUUUGUUCCUCCCCUGCUAGGCACCUGUGAGGAGCUAUCCUUGGCUCCUUUCUUCCCCAUUAGAGAGACUUCUGAGAGUGAAAGGGCCCCUCACUACAAGAAAGGACACCCUGGAGUGUGUCCAGAGAAGGGCAGCGGAGCUGUGAGGGCUCUGGAGCACAGUGUGAUGGGGAGCGGCUGAGGGAAGCGGGGCUGUUCGGUCUGGAGAAGAGGAGGCUCAGGGGAGACCUCCUGGCUCUCUGCAGCGACCUGAAAGGAGGCUGUGUGAGGUGGGGUCGGCCUCUGCUCCCAGGGAACAGCCGUAGGACGAGAGGGGAUGGCCUGACGUUGUGCCAAGGGAGGUUCAGGCUGGCUGUUAGGAACAAAUAAUUCCUUCUCCCAAAGAGUGGUGAGGCAGUGGCAUGGGCUGCACGGGGGGGUAGUGAAGUCAUUGUCCUCAGAGCUGUUCAAGGAACAUGUGAAUGUGGUACGAAGGGACAUAGUGUAGUGGAUAACACUGGUGGUAGGUGGAUGGUUGGACUAGGUGAUCUUAGAAGUCUUUUCCAACCUAAAUAAUUUUAUGAUUCUAUGAAAUGCUUGUGGUGCUCCUUUGAUUUUAGAGGAGAAGCAGGGGAGAUGUUUUGUGAGCUUUUAAAUUCAGAGCAUUAGUAAGAGCAGUUGGUGAGCUGAAGUCUUUUCUCAGUUUUGAUUCCACUUGAAUUUCUAUCUGUGACUGCGUAAGGAAACAGCAAGCUGAGUACAGCAAGAUGAGUUUUUGGAGACAGCAUUUAAAUAAUACAUGCAACUUAUGAUUAAGCAUAGCAGGUCUUCAGAUUGUACAACUGAACUUCAGCAUUCAAAAGCCAUGGAAGAAACACUGCUGUCCCUGGAGAAGCACUGAAUUAAGGAUACUUUAAUCUCUUCUAAUUUUACUGUUUUAAUGCUGUCUUGCUAGUGCUUUCCAAAACAAGGCUACAUCAUUGUAAUCAGACCAUUUAACUACAUAUCAUAACCCCACUUCUUGCUUCUUCCUAGACCUGAUGCAAGAUUUUUUCCUUGCGAAAUUUGAAUGUAGAAAAAGUGUAUAACACAUCCUCUUAUUAAGAUGAUCUUGGAGUCUCAUCUUUGUUAGUAAAUCUCUUGACAAUCUUCCUCCUUUCAUGUGUAUUGAUUUGGAUUAGGCAAUUCAUCAAAAGCUUGUUAUUAGUCAUUCUUUAGACCUUGUGUGUCAGACAGUCACUUCUCACUUUCUCUGCUUGUGGAUUACAGCACUGCCAUCAGCCAAAGCUCACUGCAUGCCAGGCAGCCCUAGCCUCUGAUUUCACUGUGAGCAUCACAGGGAAACCGUGCGUAGACCUCCGCUUUCAGUACUGUAGUUUAAAUUUGGCAUUUGGAUUAAAACAAUGAUUUGUGCUAUUGAUGACUGCUUAAGCUCUGUCAUUGAUAAUUGAGUCAGCUCUUCACUGUUAUAAAAAUAAAUGUAGCUUCAAAAAGCUACAUACUUUUACAAGCCAACAGUUUACUUUAUUUUCUGUCCAGCAAGUUGCACUAUUGGCAAUUUCUGCCUUCUUUUUUUGACUUUUGAGAGAGGGAUGUAUAUUAUCCCCAAAAGAUUGUAGCUAAAUGAAUUGGGGAAAUUAAUGUGUGGAAAUAUCUUCUUUGAGAUAAAAAAUUGUCCUUCUGCAUCUCAUCUUUUGUUUUCAGUUUUGAAUUAGAACUACAGAUAAAUCUAGGUUGGAAGGGACUUCUGGAGGUGAUCUGGUCUAUUGGAAGCCUUAGGUUCUAUAGAUUCUAUAGAUUAUCGGAAUAUUGUGAGUGGCUCCUAUGUACCUUUCUUUUUUAGGCUGAAAAGUAUGAAGGUCUUUCAACGCUUUUCAUUUAAGUUAUUCAAUUUUCUCAUCAUUUUGGUGGACCCUUCACUGGACCCUUUCCCGUUUUUCAGUAUCUGUCUUGAAAUGGAGGACCAAAUAUGGAUGCAUUAUACAAGGCACGUCCGCGCAAGUGCUGAACAGAGUGCAGUGAUCACACGCCUUGACCUGCUGCAGGCUGGGACAUGCAUUGUCUUCAUUGCCUCAAGGGUGCUCUGCUGACUCACAUGUAGCUUGCCAUCUGCCAGCACCUCCAAGCACUUUACAGCAGAGCUGAUUUUUGGACUCGUACAACUGCGAUUUGUACAGCUGGUCCUUAUAUCAACUAUCCUCUGCUACAAAAGGCAUCUCUAGACUUUCUGCGUGGGUCAUAUUGGGUCAUGGCUAUUGCAGCGGGAAGCGCUGGGAGCAAAUUAGGUGUAGAUGUCUUCAGAGAGAUGACAGGAUGUGUACACACACAUACACACCUCACCUCAGUGCUCUGAUAGUACCGAAGUGGAACUGGUGUUUUAAUUUCUUUAAGCCUUCAGGAGCAAUCUGCUUUUUUCAUCUGAAAGAUAAUGUAAGAGCACAAACUGUUCUUAUGUUGCGAAAAAAAAAUAGGCCUGCCUGGCCUCAAAUACUCGCUUCUGGAAGUGCUGCUCACCCCUACCGGGCUUUCAUUGAACCCAGCCUCAAAUCCAGAGACAGGAAAUUUGCCUCCCAACCUCAGCCUCCCUUGCAGGCUCAUGGGCUCACCACCAGCCCCGCAAUGUGGUCUCCAUGCCAGACCCUAUCUGUUCCAAUCUGUUGGGGCGGACCUGCUGUACCCUUGCAGGGCCUCACUCAGCAAGGCAAGGCGAGAGAGGGCAGUGAGAGGAUGCACUGCACAGCCUCCCUACCCACCACCAGUUGAGCUGGCUCAUUCUUGGCUACUGUUACCAGUAGUUCUGAUACCCAGUUUUUGGGUUCUAGAUGGCAGACAGUUUCUGUUUUGCUCUGUCAACAAUUAUGCUGCAGAUGAAUACUGCCAGAGUUUCGAUCAGUUACCAAUCUGACACUGAAACCUGUUUGCUCAGUAGAAGCAGGGUUGCACGCUCUUCUGUGUUAAGGUGAAAUGGCUAAAAGAGUUGUUGGAGAAUCAGCUGGCUCAGGAGGGGAGGUUGGGAAUGGAGGACUGCCAGGGCACAGCCGCUGACCAACAGAACUGGUGCUGUAGCUGCAAGCCUUGAUGAGCUGUGGGAGUUGUCCUGUGUCUGGCUAGGUUUGCAACAUGACACACACAAAAAAAAGAUAAAUCCUUAAAGAGAGAGAUGUAAUUGCAGCUAUUAUUGAUUGUGAAGUGCUUUAUACCUUAACUACUUCUAGAGCCUGUGGAUCUAUCAAUGCCCAGUACCACUUGACCACAAUUACAUAGGACACUUGAUAGAUGGGUGAUAUGGGCCAACCUGUCUGUUCAACCUGUGGGCUCUUUAUGUGAUUGGAUUAGGUCACCUCCUAAUAGGAUUUUUUUCUGUAUCACAAGUCAGACACAAUACAGUGUGAUGAGAGAAGAGCAGCUAGAAAGAAUGCUAGCAUGGCUGGUUGUAAUAAAAUGGAAAAUCACUUUUUCAUAGGUUAUCACAGUAAUUUAUUUUAACAAUUAAAAAUUAAUUCAGUAUGGAAUAUAAUAGAAAGAGGUGAUAGUGUUGCUGUGAGUCAGAGCCAGGAAAUUUUCCUAGCUCCUCUUAAAGUCAAUGGAAAACCAAUAGAUGAUCACUGUGGAGUCUGAUAAAUUGAGAGGCACUCAACAUAGAAUUCUUAUUAGACUUUCAGAACUUAACUGUAUGUCUGCUUUGAGUGGCUUUUUACUUAUCAAUGAAAAAAAGGAAAGUGCCUAAACAUGGCAGGCUUUAACUUUGGCUUGAAAGGACAGUAUCUUAGCCAGGUUAUUAACAUUCACCUUUCAGCAAUGAUUUGGUCAUAUGGCUUACUUUAGAUAAAUCUUCAUCGGAUAAAGAAAAACAAAACCCAUUUCUCUGAUAAUGAUAAAAGCCCGGUACCCUUUGACAGUAAUAGAGCGGAAAUAUUCUGUUUUGCCUUUGCUUAAAGUUUCCAAUUGCUCUUCUCUCUCUUUCCUUCAAUCUGAAGAUAAAAUACAUGUUGAGUUAUGCUCACAUAGUUUGAUGAAGGCAAAAUUUCAAAAAGGUAAAUUAUCAGAAAAAGAGCUAAUUUGAUUGAUAUUGGCAGUCCUACUGAAUGCAUCUCUGUGCUUCCUGAUACUAUGGCUAGAGAAAGUCAGCUGGUCCCUAUAUCUUUUCCCAAGAUGGUACUCUGAUUCUGAAACUGCAACAGAGGUUGGCCCAGCACCCAGAGCCUAUCUGCUGGAUCCUCUUCCACCUUGUCAGUUAUGGAAAGAACAAAGAUGUUGUCAUAUUCUCAUCAUGACAUCAAAUAGAAUCUGAACUGCAUUAUUUACCCUGACCAUGCCCUUACGAGGGCCAGGCAGAAAUCUGUUAAAGGAUGGCAGUUGCUUGACCAAAGUGGAGAGAGAGAGACUGAAAGUAUGGUCAUGAAUUUGAUCCUGAAGUUAUAGGAGUUCUGGAAUGUACAGAACAGAUAGGUAAUGGAUUGUAAAUUCUUCCUAAGAAUAAAUUUUAUUAAACAAAAUAAACCCCUCUAUUUAGUUCUUUCUGUGACUCAUUUAGAUUGGAUUUUCAGUAAGGCUUACGUGUAGGCUAAUGACCGAAGUGGAAGAUGAGUUUGCUACUGGUGAAUAGGAAAUUGUAUCUGGAAGAGGAUGGUAGGGUGUGGGAUCCAUUUCAUCAAUUUUGUAGGAAAUUAAGUUUUUAAUUAAAAUAAAAUGAAUUUAUCUUCCUAGAGAUAGGCCCAUAGAGGCUUAUGUUUGGGAGAUGAUCAGCAAACAUCCACAAACAGAUGGCUUCCUUGUUUCUUUACUUAUAACCAACACAAGCAGAGAAAAAAAUCAGUCUUACUGGAGCCUUGUUGGGGAGCUGUAGAAUGGACAAGCAUCAGGUGUAUGGUGGGGAGAGAUCCUGCUGCUCAAAACUGCUGAGAAAGCCAGGGAGCGAAGGACCUACAGUCAGUGGUAGAAGAAAACAAAUGAGGUCAGAAGAGCACUAAGCUGAGGUCAAUAAGUUAGACUGGUUUGCCUCAUUGACGUAUCUUUUUCACAAAAGCUACUCGUUUUGUUGGAAAAUUAUAUUUGCUGUCAGCUGGUGCUAGGUAGAUAUUUGAGAGUGCUCAAACCCUCCCCCUCUCUUCAUCCCAUGCCUUUACUUCUCCAAAGCUGGUAACCCUGCAGAUGUGCCAGACACAUAAAAACUGCAUUUGUCCAUGAAGAAGAAGGGGAAAAAAGUUAAGAUUAAAUAGUGUUCACUACUGCAAUUCAGAGUGUGCAGCUGGAGGUGGCAGACAGAAAGUGGAAGAAUACAAAUAAACCCCCAUUUGCAUUCAGAAAAGUAUGAAGAGAGAUUUUUUUCUUCAGAACUACCAGAUCCUAAGAGGUGUGCAAGCUGUGCAGAAAAGAAAGAUUGAGGGCAAGACAGGGCACAGACCACGAAUGUCAGUUAGGUUAAAAAAAUAUGGUGGUAUGGUGGAAGGGGAAAAAAAGAAAAAGAAUAUUGAAGGGAGGCAUUGUUGGAAGAGAAAGGCUGGCAGUGGAGAGCACUCUAAUGCAUUGAGGUAUUGAUCCAAAAAUGCCCUGUAAUUUUUGCUAGGCGAGAUGUCAUGCUUUAGUUUCCUUGGAGCAUACAGGUACAAGAGUUUCAAAACAAUUCAGAUCAAGAGGGGAAAAAAAAAAAAAGGAUCUUAAAUCUAGUGAAUCUUCUGUUAUGCUGUAAAUCCAAACUAGGUACUUGAAAUGCAGUCCUAGACUGGGGAUUACCAGGAUCUGGCACUGCAGAUCUAACUUGCUGUGGUCAUCUGUAUUCUGAAAGUUGAGUUCUUCCUGUUGUAUGCAGGCAUUUAGGAAAUGCCCCCAACUGACCCAUUUUUUUUUUGUAUGUAAAAGUACUGGGGUGAGAUUAUUACAAAUAUAGAAACUUAUUUAAAUCAUAAUGCAAAAAUAUUCUUCGAGUUCAGUCUCAAUCCAAAAUAGUUGCUGAGCCUUGAUAGUGACUUAAAGGCAAGCAGUGUGGAACCAUUUGCAGUGAAUAAUGUAUUAAGAAGCGGUCGGAAUGUGAGCUGUUUACUCAAAUACCUGUAUUGAUACAAACCAAACUAGUGAAGUUGCUGGGAAGAAUGUGGAAUGUCACAAUGUGGUCUGAUGCAGUACAAAUGCAGGUUUUCUGUGUUCUGUUUGCUUUGCACUUUACACUCAGUUGUUAAUAAUUUUUUUAGAAGUUGCUUUUACGUGGGCAUAUGGGAACUCCAAGUGGUGCAUGUUUUUCACUCAUUCCAAUGUUUCUUCAUGCCAUGCUCCAAAAAACCUGCACAUAGCUGCCUGCAAUGUGCUGAGAGUUGAGACAUCAGGAAAUGUUCUGAGUUUCUAAAUACUGUGCAGAGAUUGAAGCAGUGAAAACAAUAAAGCUUGCGUCACAGCAUAAUGUGAUAAGAAGGAAAAAAAAUUAGAGUGGUUCUUCAGCAUCUUCUUUCUGGAGGUAAUGGCUGACAAUAUAUUUGAUUAUGUCAUUAUACAGAUUUGCUGCUUAUUGUAAGGGCUGCGUCUGUAUCAUUCACAUACAGCGAGAAGAGCAUCGCAGAUCUUUGUGUUCUCAACUGCAAAACUAAACAGAUUCUGUGCCCACUGGCGAAGGCUGAAGUUGCCAUUGACAAAUGUGUACAAUAUGAAGAAACUUGGGUUUUGUACUUUCUUACAGCCAAGAUUCAUACGUUAAUGUUUUGAAGAACAUAUUAGAGUGUUGCCAAAAUGCCCUUUUAAUAAUCUUACUCAUGACUCAACAUGUUUUCAAAUAUUUAAUCUGUCUUUUGCAUUUUAGUAUGGAACUUAAUCUGUUAUGUUAUUAAUAUCUCUUCAGAUACACAGAUACUCUUCUUCACAGAUGCUUACAUGUACAAUGGAAUGUUGUGUUACUUAACCAUAAAACUUGGACUCCAACCCCAAGGCACAGAUGCCAAAUCAAAGGCAGCAAAUUAGUGACAUACCAACUCUAGGAAGAUUUUUAUGAAAAAUCUCUUUGUCAAUUUAAUUGGUCACAAUUCCUCGUUUUGUUAAACUAGAUAGGAAAAUAAAAUAGAAAAUCAACCCUCAUUUGGAUACUGCAGGUAGGGUGGUUUUUGAGUAGGUUGUUCUUUUUUUUUUUUAUCAACUUGUUUCUUUUUGUGUAUUAUUUAUUGGAGAAAGACAUAUAAGGUAAGCUAACAAAAAAACGGGCAGGUCAUAUAAGGGAGCGAAUAGAGUUCCCUUCCAAAGGACUGUGAUGAAUAGUGGGCAUGGGCAGACAAAGUGCUUGGUAGUGCUCAAUGUGAUACACAACCUCACACUUUAAGAAGCAUCCUUAAUCCUGACAGCUGUUCAAAAAAUAUGAUAGAGUCAGACAGCAGGGAAAAAAAAACUGAGUUUUCUUAAAAUUCCUGCUGUUAGCCUCUGAGCCCUUUUGGUGCUGUGGUACUGUCUCUAAGGAUGGAGCUCCAUGGCUCUGUCUGGUGUCUGUGGGAUGUGCCAGCAGGGCUGGUGAUGGCAGGGUCUUCUUGCUUCCAUGGGGGUGUGAAUUCAGGUGCUUCUCCUCUGCCUGCCUCUUGAUUUCCCAAACCAAAGAGAACUUAACUGCUCACCAUCUUCCAGCCCCAGUUGAUGUAGGCUUUGGGAUGAAUGCUGUCUGAGAGGAUGGGAGAUACAUUGCAUGCAUUCAUUCUGUGCUUCCAGCUUCCUGAUACGCUACUGAAAAAAGAGGAGCUGGGGAAGCAGAGAUCUUGCUGGAUAAAGACCAAGUCAGCACAGAGUGGUUAUCCAGUAGCCUCAAUAAACCCUGUGAGCACUUAGGAUGGUUGAUGACCUGUGACCGUGCAGUAAAAUAGACGGGAGCUCUUAGAGGUAGUCCCCUGCUCACACUUUCCUCCCUAGUGGUUAAAAGUCACAGCCUUCGUAUUGUGGCUGCAUUUUGAACACAGUGGUUUUGCACUGAAGUCCUGGCAGCCUAUCAGGAUAUGUGCACUCAGGAAAUUCAUUCAGAGCUGUUUGCUGUCUGCUGGUUCUUGGAACCUGGGUCUUUCCAUGAACUUUGGGUCAGAUAAAUAAACUGCUCUGGCUAUGAGGAGUCAUCUUGUUACUGAGGAAUUGAUUUCUGAGUAAUAGUAAUUGUAUAAAUUAGCAUUAAUUUCCAAAAACAUGAUGUAAAGAGGUUUUGAAGAAGUGUUUAGCAAACCUUGCAUGCAAGAAGAAUGAAAUGGUUGGCCUCUCACAGGUUAGAUUGGAUGGAGAGACUCACUGCAAGGAAAGCAGUUAUAAGAACUGCUGCUAGCAGUGAUGAAGGGUGUUUGGGCAAAUUCAUUGCUGGAACAUAAAAGGUGUCUAGAUAUGUAUCUAUGGGAGUGCUGCUGCUUUAAUUGUCCCUGUUGUAUAGAUGCUCAUUAAUCAGUGCAUUCAAAAGCUUUGAAACAGAAUCAAGGUGAACUCAGCUGGUUUGAUUUAAAGCAUGUGUAACAAAUUCUGCUUGGUUGGUCUCUGCCAACUGCAGCUCUGACACCAAAGGUGAAUGUCCCACUUGUGUUUAGCUGCUCAUACCAGACAUGGCAGCUGGCAGAGGAUGCAUCGGGUAGAUGUGCUCCUCUGGGUUAUGUCACAUUUUUAUUACUGGCAUUAGAAGGAAUGUUUAACAACAAAAUCUGCAAUGUAUGAGACUGUACAUAUUUUCUGUAGACCUAGACCUAGUCUUUUGGUGGCCAUUCAUAUUUUAGGAACAGACCUGUUCUAUUUUAUUAAACUCAACUGAAAAUGGAGACUAACUGUUGAAGAACAGAGCUGUUGACCUUAUAUUUCAUGAGUAAGAAGAUUUUAUUUUCCAUAGUUACUAAAGGCUUAUUAAAAACUGAGGUUUUUUUAAUACUGUGCCAUUUCUGGUACGUAUAUACAAAUACACACUGUUCUUGUACAUGGUUCAAAUGACCAGCCAAAAAAUAGUUUAAAAUUAUGAUAGCAGGCUGAAAAAGACAUGAAUAUGCAAGUGCUGUUUUUAGUUCAGAACCUGAGUUUUCAAGCUGAAACGUGCAGCGCUUUCAUAGAAUGUACAUCCUUUUCUUUUGGUUUGACAUGCAAAUCCCUCAGGUUGUGAACGGGCUUGUGCAUGACUAUCACCCUUAGAAAAUAACAGGGUCCAUUUUAGCCUAAGAGUGGUUGAACAUGUUUUCUUCCAUUAAUUUUCAUGUUCAUGUCCAUGAUUCCUGCCCGUAGUUUAGCUGUGCUAUAAUGCAGUAGUGCUUUCACACUGCACUUUUUCUACCGGGUAGGCUUUAAGAGUAAGAGCUUUUGCGUUUCAGCAUCUGAACCCUUCGGGUAAGGGGAAAAAAGAUCCCAUACUAAUCAUGAUUUCAAAUGAUUUUUGGUUUAGACAUGCCCCAAAGCCUUGCUGGGAUUUUAUACAGUGUUUGCUUGUUUCUGGAGUUGUAUUAGCUAUUUUUUUUUUUCCUGCAGUGUGCUUUUUGGCCAAAUAUAACAGGUCUGAGAGAAUGGAUUGUGGCCUCAGAUCUGCAGCUGCUUGGUACAGUUGUUUUUCUCUUUGAGGAAAGUAUAGAGAACGAGGAACUUAAUUCAAUUAAGUAAUACAAUAGUUUGCAAUGAAGAUAAGAUACUGUCUUUAAUUUUUUUCCCCUGUUACCCAGAAUGAGUGAAUACAUGAAAAUUAAACCUUUGCUUCAUCUGAGGCGUCCAUGGGCAAUUGUGGGGAACUGUUUUUCUCACUCACGUACUUCAGUUGAGGACCUGUACGUCUACCUGGAGAGCACACGUGCCUCCUAUGGAUUUUGGUUUGAGCUUUCAUUUGUUCUUAUGGGAGGUGAUGGUGCACAUGGAAUCCACCAUUUCCCUGUCGUUUCUGCCGCUUGAAUUUUCCAGAGCAAAGUGAAGGCAGCAUAUUUAUUUUAACACCCGUGGCUGAUCAGAUAACUUUACAGCUCUGCCUGAUCACGAAGCUCCCAUGACUCGGUGCUGUAGUCUCAUCUGUGGAGUUUCAGAGGUGGGGAAGAUCUUCACUGGCAGAGUUAUAGAAAGUGGUUUGGGUGAGGUGCUCUGAGAGAAAGAAAUACUCCAUGAGUUGCAAAAAACAACAAACAGAAGAAGAAAACAAAUAAUUUGGUCAGGUAAAAAAAGAUUGGAUAUUUCUCAGUGCUGAAAGCUGAGCUGGGAAGAUGCCUCCAGAUAUGCUUAUUUUGUGCCUCUGCCUUUCAUGCUGGCUGCAUCCCAAGUACAUACAGAAUAAUUUAUUGCACAUUUCAGAGCUGAUCAGCCACAUAAGCCUGUCAAGAGCACAACAUUAACCGAGCAGUGAGGGAAAAUACACUUUUGUUUUGAUUUUUCCUUGACCUUGCUAGUAAUAGAAAUAAAAUUAUAAACUGUGAGCAUUAUUUUUUUAUUAUGUGCUAUCCCUCUAAAAAAAAAAAAAAAAAAAAAAAAAAAAAGAACAAAUGUUCCUAUGGCGGGACAGAAUUCUGAAUUCCUAAAAUAGAAUCAUAGAAUCAUAGUAUGGCAUGGGUUGAAAAGAACCACAGUGCUCAUCCAGUUCCAACCCCCUGCUAUGUGCAGGGUCGCCAACCAGCAGACCAGGCUGCCCAGAGCCACAUCCAGCCUGGCCUUGAAUGCCUCCAGGGAUGGGGCAUCCACAGCCUCCUUGGGCAACCUGUUCAGUGCGUCACCACCCUCUGGGUGAAAAACUUCCUCCUGAUAGCUAUACAAUCAUAAAAUAGACAUUCUGCAAUUCAUUUUUCUAAUCAGAAAGUUGUUAUUCUCUGUAUAGCAAUGACUAAAACUUGAAGUUUGAUGGCUUAGAGGAGGUUUUUGUUGUUGUUGUUGUUGUUGUUUUUAUUAUUAUUAUUAUACUCAUGUAAAACCUAUUAAGAAAGUGGCUAAUUUCCACCUCAGCCUUGACACAUGCCAAUAGUUUUGGUAUGUCUCUCUUUUAGAAGUGUCAGAGUCCUUCUUCAGCAUCCAAAGUGGCAGCUAGAUGAUCCACUCUAUUAUUUCAGAAUGGAUUAGUAAUUAGUUGCCAAGACAAUACUGGUAUUAGAUAAUGGACUGAUGGUGGUGUGUCUGAUGCAGAGAUAUUUACUGAAGAGGCGGAAGGUCUGAGUUCUCUUCUGAAAUAUUUCAGUAGUUUGCAUUCCCUCAUCCUCCCCUCUCAACAGUGCUGGAAGUGACACUUUUCAAAGUAACUCCACAAAGAUACUUUCCAAACUGUCACUUUGUUAUGAGAAUUUAACUCUUCCUUUAUUUUUCCUUUAAAAAAAUAGAAAAAAGGAACCUUUAUUUGCAGCUCCCCAUGCACGUUUUUAUGCACUGCUUUUGGAACUGGAACAGAAUCUUGCUGAAUGCUACCACUGCAAAACAAGCGUAGAGAUUGUUGAUUACAAAUGUCAUCAUUUGUAUUACUAGUGUGAAUGUUUCUUUGAUCAAAAAAAGUAUGAAAAUCUGACCAAAAUGCGAAGUUUUUUUACGUUGAAGCUGUCAAAGAGUCAUUUAAAAAUAUAAGCUGCAUAUCCUAUAUUUAUUAUCAUUUUUGAAAGCAGGCUAAAUUUAUACAAGUUAAUGCUUCAUAAAACUGGCAAUUUCAAAGACAGGUUUUUUUUUACUGUAAAGCAGUUAUUAUGGGAUUUGUUUCCUCUAGAAUGCCCAGGGGAGAGCGUAUGUGACUACUGAAAGAGAGAUCUGGUAAAGUGCAGAUAUGUUUGUCAUGGCUGAAAUGUUGGGUGUUUAACCAGAUUUUUACUAAGAUUUCAAGUUACGUGUAGAACUCCACUUGAUAUAUAGGAGACUUGGAUGGAUAACCAUUUUGAGAAGAUAAUUCUCUUCCAUUAUACUAUUUAUUGCAGUACUUCCCUCUAUUUCAGUAUCUGUGGCAAGAAGAAAAUAGUUUUACUGUUUUCUACAUCCAACUUGAUGGUCAGUGCUGUAUAAGGCAUCCCUCGUGCUCCUUGUCCUGCCCACAGCUUUAACUAAUGCUCUGCUUUGGGUUCCAGUUCUAAUGCUUGAGCCAUCAGUCAAAGCUUUCUCAUGCAUUUUCAUCAUCUGAAGAUGUUGUGAUACUGGCUGUUUUUUCUUUGAUAUGUAUUCCUAGAGUUAGAUUUACUGAAAUAUUUGCAACGUUCCAUGAUAACUUCUAGUAGAACAUUAUUUUCGCUUCUCAAAUGUGUCUCCAUGCUUGGGUCAGUCUAUGUAUCUGUACACGCACAUGAAUGUAUAUUUAAACUAUUCUUAUAUGGAGAUAUGUGUGUUUUUUAAUACAGAAGUAAUGAUGGCCCUAAGGCCCGCUUUCUUUCUCCAUAAUACAGACAGGGUUUCCUAACGUGACACAAUCCGUGCAAAGACAAAUGCUUGCAGAUUAAAUUCCAAGUGUGACAAUUUCAGAACGCAGUUAUGUCACAGCAGUACGAUCUCUACAUACGAUGCGGUGCUCCAUAUACCUCAUUAUAAACAUCCCCCUCCAAAGGGGAACGGCAGUAUUUGUAAGCAUUUGCCUAAAGCUGAGGUAGUGAAUGUGUACUGUAGGUGAGAAUUGUCGGGAAGAUCUUUUUUAAUGUCUCCAAUAUUGGAGGACUCAGCUGAAAAUAGCUGUGUGACAUGCCUUAAACAGAUUCAGGCGUCUCUGCAGAAUGUAAGAAAAGACCUGAAUACCAGGAUUACAGAUCCCACAAAUCCUCUGCUCGGUUUUACAGAAGGAUCAGGCAGUUUAUGUAUUCAGUUAAUCUAUUUUCACUUCAGGGUAAUGACUUGCAGCUGUAGCCCACUUCAUUGGCAGAUCAGAAGCUACACUGUAGUAUCUGUCUGACCUACACCAUUUGUCUUGGAAGGCUAAUUGUUUAGCAUACUGAAUGGUUUACACUCCCAGGCUACUCCUGAAAGUUAACAGAAGCCAGCAGCAUGGCCCCGGGGCAGCCCCAUGCUCACUGAUGCCCUGGGGUGCAGGCAGAGGUGCCAGCAGCGUGGGAUGGGUUCCCCGAACCCAAACUGUUGGCCAGAUGGGCGGUAUGGACUGUUCAGUGGGACAGCCUCGUAGGGUGAGUUUUCCUGAUGUGUCUUUAUCACCGAAUCGUAGAAUUGAGUUGGAAGGGACUCCUAGAGGCCAUCCAGUCCAACCCCCUGCAGUGCACAGGGACACCCACAGCUCCAUCAGUGCUCACAGCCCCGUCCAGCCUGACCUUGGCUGUCUGCAGGGAUGGGGCACCACCACCUCUCCGGGCAACCUGUGCCACUGCCUCACCACUAUUAUCAUAACAACCUUUUUCCUUAUAACCCAAAUCUCCCCUCUUUUAGUUUGAAGCCAUUUCCCCAUGUCCUGUCACACAGACCCUGCUAAAGAGUCCACCCCCUUCCUUCUUUCAGCCCCUUCAGGUACUGGAAGGCCGCCCUCAGCUCUCUCAGAGCCUUCCCUUCUCCAGGCUGCACAGUCCCAGCUCUCAGCCCCAACUCUAUCCAGAGUUAGGAGAAAACCCAGCUUCUAAAAAUACUCUUCUGUUCUUUAGCCAUUUGUUUAUUUUAAAGCAUCCCUCUCAAGCUGUGUUACUGCAUUUAAUGAAGAGCAGCUUCCUUUACCGCUGUCUAAUAUUUGCAUGUGUCAAAGGCCAUGCCUGGCUCAGAAUUUCAGGGAAACAGCAGGGCUCCCUGUGGGUACACAGCACCCAUCGCAGUUAAGCUGUGAUGCGGGAACUGUGUUCUAUAAGUUUCAGAAGAUUGCAGGUGUCCUGGUGUUUUGCUAAGAGGAAUUUUGCUGGGGAUUCCUCUGAUGACUUGAGCAUGGGAUGAUUCUUCAUUUCUGAGAGGAAGGAUGUUCGCAUCCUCAAAUAUUGCUUUCAAAGCAUGAAGUGAUGGGUGCUCACACAAUCUGGCUUACAAUGGUUUUCUAGCAUCCUCAUCAAUAGAAAAGCUGGCACCUAGCUAUUUAGGCUCUUCUGAAAAUUUCUCAUUUUGGACUGCAUCAGUUUCCGUCCACAAGGAAUUAGAUGUACAGCCCAGACGUGCUCAGAGGGCUCUACUUCUCCUAUCACUUCAGAUUCAGUUCACCUCGCUUGGAGCUCAGCAUGUAAUGCAAACUUCAGCAAUUAAAGCCUUCCCCACAGCACUGUUCCGCAGGGUGUCAUGCUGCAGCGCUGUUUACAUAAUCGCCUUGCUUUGCUGGACGGCAAGUGUUUCAUUAGGAACUGUUAGGAAAUUAUUAUAAUGCAGUGUAGCCUAAUGAGGUCUUGUCUCCAGUCAGGACAGGUUCGCCCUACUGGUCGAUGCGGUUAAGUAGGUAAGGCCCCAGCAUAGACAGGAGUAGGGAGGCUUUUGCAGACAGUUGCACUGUCACCGAAUGACAUACCUGCAAGACUCGGUCAGAUUCAUUUAGUAAUUCGGCUGUGAAAUGCUGCAAAAGGCUUUUCAUUUUAAAAGUUCAGGCAAUUAAUUUAAAAUACAAGCAGUAAUUGUUUGGAGAGAUACCAUGGCUGUGUAGUAUUAGUGUCAUUUGUGUUUUAUUGUGGUAAACUUAAAUUUAGAAUCGCGUUGUAAAGGCAGAAGCGUGUUUUUAAUUUGAACUAUUAGAGUAAGUUGAAACAUUGCCUUCCGGGUGUUUGAACUGAGUCCUCAUCUUUGAUUUUACUCAGAGUUACUGGCGGGUUUUGCUUCAGAGCAUGUGAUUCAAUUUCAUUCUUUGGCAAGAAUUUUGAUUUAGGGUUUAAUCUAAAGUUUGGCAUUGCUAACAAAGGUGAAGUGCAGCUAUUUACCGAGCAGCAUUGAAAUGGCACCCAAAUUAAGCACUGAGCACAUGCUUGUUUCUCUAAAGUUAACCUGUGCUUUCCGUACUGCUCAGUGGGAAAAUGCUGUGACUCCCUGAGAGAACCACAGGAAUUUUCAGCUUUCCUUUCCCCACUGAGUCUCUUCUGCCUCCCUUACCAGACUCUCUUUGUGUAAGUCACCAAGUUGGAUUUACUGCAUCUUGCUCGGAAUGAAAUGCAGAUUUCUAGGAAACAAGGAUGCUUUGGCAAAUGGGCAACUUCCUGUUUUUACCUCUCAUAAACUCUUUAUUCUCAAGAUGUUUUUUUUUUUUCUUUUUUUCCUUCCUUUCAUUCUCGGGGCCUUUCCCCUGUUUCUCUCGCCAUUUUAUUCAUUUCCUACUGUCUUCUGUGAGUUUGCUUCCUUGAUUGUGAAAGUUGCAAAGAUGUAAAAGAGUAAGCAGUGAAUGUGCACCAUGUUCAGCCCAUUCUAUGGUCUGUGCACUUACACCUGGCUGUUCAGCUCACCUGCUAUAGGACUCCAGCAUGCAGAAGUGGCUCAACACAUGAAAAGGCCUCAGGAAGGACAUAGACUACUGCUUCAGCGAGUUCCCCUCCACAGCCUUUUCAUGUGGAAGGCUCACACAGCCCUUCUGCAAAGAGAAACGCACUUGGCAAAUCCACUGCUCCCUGCAGCAGACUCAGCAUGCAAAGGGCUGGCAGGGCUGAGCUACAGAGAAACCCAAGUGUGAUAUGAAGGCCAACGUAUUCAUCAGCUGAGCCGGAGUCUGGCACCAAUUGAUGGGCUUUUGUUUAAAAAGAGAAGAAAAGAAAAGAAAAAAGAAUCAGAAAAGCCAACCCCCAAAGCCUUACCGCUCUCUGCCUGAGUUUUGCUAGCUUAUUUUUUUAUAAGUCAUAUCAGAAAUCAUUGGCACUAAACUUCCUUUUAGAUGAAAGUUUGAAGGAGCUUUACAAGAUAUGUGCAGAUAUUAACAUUAGUGACAGAUGUUUAAGCUUUAGCUAAAUAAGGCAUUCUUUAGCCAGAUAAUAUAGUUUGUUGUUAUGCUGAAAUAUUGAUUUAGAAUUAUAAAUGCCUAAUCCCUACCUCAGGCUCCCACUGCUGGAUUCCAGAUGUGGGAGAUCCUGUGUUAAAACAGUGCCUCUUUUCCAGCCUUCUGACUAGCAUUUUCUUUUCUUCUGAGUUUUACUCUCCUGUAUCCUCCUCUAAGAUUUGGUGUAUAAAUACAUAAUUGAGAACGUCAGCAGUAAACAGUGCCUUGCUGGACCCAAAGCAAUGGGUCCAGCACAGUUUAGAUUUGUUUAUAGCUCGUUCUAUAGCACACAGAACAGAUCAAAGGAGCGUGCUGUUUGUUUUUUCAGACGUACAUGGUUUGCAGCAUUAGAUAACUGCUUGUCCUUUUGUUGCUUCCCAGUUCUUUCGGGUUAAAAAAAAAAAAACAAACCACAAAACAACACAAACCAAACCCAAACAGGUGCAAAGUAUUCACUUGAGUUUCUUCCUGCCGUACAGAUGGUUUUAAAAGGAUUUUAUAAAUUUAUGGCCUCUAUCAUCUCAAGUUCUGCUCUUUCAUAGCAUUACAAUAGGUUGGCAGCCAAGUUGUGCGUUACUGUGCUGUAGUUGAGCUGUUUGGAAUAUUACUUUGAGAAUUGGAAGGGCUCCGGGGUGUUAAAACUGAUUAUGAGAUUUUUCUUUGCUUGACAAGAUGAGCAGGUCCAUGUGAAGUAUAAGGCAGUUAUGUGGAUUGACGACAGACAGGUUUCAAUCACAGAAUCAUGUUGUGCUUCGCUCAUUUUUGAGGUGGGAUGCCAGCAAAAUUGAGUUUCAAGAGGAUAAUUACAGCCCAAUCAAAUCCUCAGGUUAGGUUUCAUGACUUUUUUAUUCUUAAAGAGAUUCCUCUGAGUGAAUUAUUGCAUUCUGAGUGUUCUUCAGAAACUUCGUUUAUAAUUUGUCUUCCUGAAAAUCAGAAGAACAGCUAGCAACCGGAGUGAAAACUGACAAAAAUCUUCAUUUUAGAAGUUGAAUAACCUCAAGGACACCCAGUUCUUAUCAGUGAAUUUUCCAUCUGCUUUUGAACAUGACUUUAGCAUGAGUUUGACCCCAGCUCCGUGUGCUGACGGUCAGCUCUGCCAGGUAGGAGUCUGAUGAAGUGAUCCUGGGCUAUAAUUGCCCUCCCCAGAGAUAACCUCUCCUAGUUAAGUACCUGACCCCCUUAAAAAAUCAGAAGUUAGUUCUAUGAAUGGGUGCUGUUUAGAGUGGUAAAAUAAUUCCUUUGGCUAAGCAGGAUAAGCUGUAGGACCCAGCCAAGCUCUUUUAGGAACUACAGUCACAUGUUUCCCAACAAUAAGACAACAUUCACAGCUCCCCUUGUAUCAUUAUACUAUUUAUUGGUCUCUGAACGCAAAGGUUGGGUAAGGGCUAUGGCUUUUCUUAAUCCUCUUGCUUGAGAACGGUUUGCUGCAGACCCUGGUUUUCAUUUGUAUGCUGGAGUUUGAGUUUAGGCUCCUUUUGCUGGGACUGUCUCCUUGCCAACUACUUUGCACUUCCAAGUUGAGUCAACUCAAACUCUCAAACUGCUUCACCGGGGAUGAGAUUGGGCCCCGGCUCAGCUCUAAAAUCCAAUUCCUUGUGUUAUGUCUCUGUCUCUUCCAAACCUCCUGGGAAGGCUUUCUGGCAUGAUAGGAGCACUCCCAGUAACACCCAGACAGUGUCCUCCCUGGCUUUUGGAUGGAUGGACGGACAGAUGCCAGAUGCCAUCCACCACAUCCCCACUAGCUGGGAUCCCUCUCUGCACUUUGUGGUGGGUGUUAAGCCCAUCCUAUUUUGCAGUGUCAUGCAUUAGUAAGAAUUACUUCGCAUAGGGCCAAUCCUGAGUGAAGGUUCUCCUCACCCUUGCAAGGUGGUAAGUGACAUUUUCAUUUUGAUGCUGUAAUGCAUAGGUCUGUCAGAUAAGAAAUUCCCGUUACUUUCUCUGUCAGUCAGUCUUUUUUUGUGUGUGUGCAUUAUUCUCAACUUUUUCUACUGCUUCUACUUCUCUUAUUUCUGCUUCUUGGAUUAUACAGCAUAUGAGUUGUAGCAAGAUGAGUUUUAACUUGGAAAUGCAGCUUGUGUGAUUCAGCAGUGCCCUGGUAAUUCAGGUGAUAUUUCUAAUGCUGAAGCUUAUGUUCAGUCUGGAUAGCAAAUUCUCAAGGUGUCUUUGAAGAAAUCCCACUAAAUUCCCUGAAAAAAAAAAAAGUUUGUUGCUCAGAAUGUCGUCUUUGUUUCUUAUAUACAUUCAGAAACACCAUUGCCCUGCAGGUGUCACUGAGCCAUCUGAGCAUUCACCACCUAACCUGAGUAGAAAGUCAGGGCUUGUGAAGCCAGACUAAAUAAGCAACAAGAAAGAGCUGUUCUUGCUCUGCUAUGCAUGUCCUCUGUUUGGGGUAUUCAUCUUGCUGCCACUGAAGGCAUUGCUGGUGGCUGGCUGAUGGCUUUCCAGGCCACAGCUGUGCUAGUCCAUCCUCAGCCCUUUGUAGGAAGCUGGUUCAGGCUGCUACGGCAGCAAGAAAAUACUAGAUAAAUACUAGAUUUUCCAGUCACCUGCCUCAAACCAGUGGGAUGGGAGCCUGACUCCCUGCUGUUUGCAUAGGAUGUGGAAACUUUUGCUGUCUGUGACUGACUGUGGGAGCAGGAAUGUGAGAUUAGUGGAAAAAUGAAUGUAGCUUUUCACUUCUUGGUGACUUAAGCUGGUUGACAGUAACCCUGGGACAAAAUGUAGUUGAGGUGUACCAGUCCAGGUGCAGUAUAAGCAAUUCUGAUGUUUUUCUUCCAAAUUCAUUGUUUGGCAGCUUGUAAUUUUUUAAUACAAAGCAGUUGUUUUCAUUUUUAAUGUUAGUUACAGGGAAAUUUAUGGUGUAUUUGUACUUCUCCACAAAUAUUCAAGUGCUCUUCUGGAAGGAGGUACGCAAUAAAUAACAUUGCUUCAUACGCAGAGUGAGCAUUAAAUCAUUUAAUAGUAUAAUAAGAAAGCCCUGAACUAAAAUCCUUGUGGGCUUCGUGAAGUUUCUUUUUUUAUUACGAUUUCCAGUGUUAUGUUCUUUAAAGGAAGACUUUCCCUCACGCUGGUAUAUAUCCAGGCUUAUCUUAGGAAUAAGAUACAACAAAACAUUCACUAUAACUACAAAACAGAGAUAUACAGAAUAGAGAAAAUAUAUCUAUAUUACAUCACUAUGCUGUAAUUUGAAAUAUUUCCAUGCCUUUUAUGAAUACGUUCAAGUCAGAGUGGCUGACAGUAUUAAGCAGUGUUUGCAAUAGCUCAAGUUUGCAGAUACCCAAAUCGGGAUACAGAUUCUUCAUUUUCAGUGCAUCAUUCUGAAUUAUUUUGAGUUCUCUUUCUCAGAAAAUGGGUUGUUGGUUUUGUUUUUUUCAGCACUGCUGCUGCAUAAAAAACAUAAUAUUGCAGUUUUCUCCUCAUGUAAGCUUAAAAUGCACCUGGAAGCCAGAAGGUCUAAACACACAGAGAUGUAUAUUCAGCAAGGACCAAACAUAGAGCUAGCAGUAGCAGAGCCCUUGGGCUCAGGGAGUGACUUCAUUAGAGGCAUCACCAGCAGGUUUCUGUCAUCUUAGGCUCAAUCCCAACACCGCUUGUCUUAUACAGCCUAUGAUGCUUGCAGCCCCACUUCAGCUUAGUAACAGUUUGUUGCCUCUGCAAGCGCACUUCUGAGCCUUUUUCUUUGCGGGACAUACCUGUGCUCUGAAAAGUGACUGUAGGGAAUGUAAUUGCAGGCAUGAAAUUUUUGCAUUAAAUUUUGUCCCGGUGGCUCACAUUAAGAGUCACACGUACAAAUAAAAUGAAUUGCUUGGAUAUAACCGGACGUUUUGCCAAGAGCUUGGGAGUCAGCCUUCAUGCUUUCACACCAGCUAACUAUCACCUCCCUUUGUAGGUUCUAGCUGAGCAGUGAAGGCAUGUGGAGGAGAUCUAAAGAUAGGAGGAGCUAUCUUUAACUUGUCAGUCUUUAGGAUAAAAUUGCACUCAUGACUCGAUUUUAUUUUCUCUGCUCGUUCCUUUGCUCUGUGUAUUUUUGAACUUCCCAUGAAUAUCCAUGCACGAUGGUAGGGAUUUGGCAAUAAAUUUACGGCUCAUCCGAAAUACUUACAAAAAAAUAUGCUGGUGAAAUUAUCCUGUGCUUACUGUCGAAUUAAAGAUGUAGCUAACAAAACCGUAGCGCCUUAUGCUGGGUAGCAGCUAGUUUAGCUUUACACACGCACUUUUUCAAGACAUUCCACCAUGAAGUAUAUAUCUGUGUUUUUAAUCUCUGUCUUUUGGUCUGCUCUUUGUUCUGACAAUGUGGAGUGCAGUACGGUUCAAUUCCUUUGCUCACUGGAAAUGUUAAAGCCAUUUGCUGUUCUAACUGAUCCCUGCUUGGAGUGCUUUAUUACUGACGCAAUCUCGAGGUGAGCAUUAUAAAGUGAAGCAUUAUUCUUGAUUUCACUGCGAAGCAGGAGGGAGUCAAACUGCAGGCAUCCAAUGUCGAAAUCGCCUUUUCUAAAGGAUUUUUUUAGUGUGAAGAUGAAGUGCAUUUAAGGCUGUGUUUGCUGAUCUCGAAGCUUGGGAUGUAAUGAGUAAAGUGACAGAAGAAUAUGACCUUGCAAAGAGUGAGACGGCUAAAAGCUAAGUGAGCUUUGGGAAUAAUGGAAAUGAGGCACAGUCCAAAUGAAUGGGACCUUUAAAGGUUGCCUUUCUCUUCACAAAGGUUUUUCAUACAAUAUGAAACCUCUAACAAACCCUUAAGAAAAGACAGUUAUGGAGCCAUCCAUAGGCUUCCGAAUCCAAGGUGUUCCAACUGGCUGCAGUUUGACAGCCAUAGAAACCAUUUCCCAUUUAAUCUAUUAAACUAGAGUAAAAGAAUGUUUCCUUGCUCUUGGUAUGUAGAAUAUUUAGUCAUUAAUUUGGUCUUACGCUGUUUUCACUGUUGAGAGUUGAGCAUAUUGUGGAAAAUUAAUUAUCUUAGAGCAUACUAUAUUUUAUGAAGUAUUGAUUUGCUUUUUCCUAUUAUAGAAAAUUGUACCUUUUUUUCCUCUUUAAUUGAAUGUAUUUCUUCAGAGGAGUUAGACUGUAAAAUGCUGCAUGAAAAGCCAGUAUUUUGAAAAGCAGAGUGCAUUGAGUCAUUUUUCGAAACUAAUUUGAAAUAUUUUGGGCACCCUGCUUUCACAGCCACCACUCGUAGUGUGCUGGUCCCAAUAGAAAUUAUACUGUGCAUUUUCAGCUGUUUCAGGAUUAGCAGUAAUUAUCUGUGGACUGGAAAUGAACUGAUGAAGGUGUUGUGGAGAUGAGUGCCUGCCCUACAAAAAGAUAAUUCAAGUUCCCAUGUGGUGAGGGUAGCAUAGGCCCCCCAGGAGGAUGUCCUUCACAACUAAGGCAGCACUGAGCUGUCUGUGAAUGUUUCCGCGAGACCUGAAGAAGUGCUACUGAGAACUUUCAUUUGAUAGAAGGAAUACAACAAAAAGACUAGAAUAUUGUCAAAGUGACAUUUGCUAUUUGAGUGCCUUUUCAGAAAGGACGUUUUACUAACAGUUUUAAUUAUUAAUGAAAAACAUUAAGGACUUGAGCUCCUGCUUCUGAUAUAUGUAACAGGCAUGUUUCUUACACUUAGCUAUGUUUUUUAGUGUACUGGUGCAGAUCUCUUUUGCUUUCCAUGCAGUCUUCUUAUCCCUGAUUUUGAGUGUGUUCAAAGCUUUCUUCUCUGUAUCUAAGCUUCAGAUAAUUGAGUCUUUCAUCUUUCAUUCUAGAGUUUCCAUGCUUGUAAAAGGGAAAGAGAGUUGAGUAGGAAGGAGGUUGUUCUUUGUUAUUAUUGUUUUCCCUUCCUCUUCCCCUUUCCCUUUCCUUCCAUUUCCCUUCUCCUCCUCUGAGCUGGUGUUAUUCCUUUCUCCUUUUCUCUCAGGUUUCAAAGUGGUUUUCUUUAGCUGACAUGUGAAUGCUCACCAUUUCAAAACAGCCCACAGAUGCAAUUAGCCAUUUGUCAAGGUGUGCAGGAACCGACCGGCCUCCUCACUGCAGCUAAGUCCUUUCUUUGCUCUGCUGACACACCACAGUAUUAUCCUCUUAGCUCUGUGAAUGAGAAGUCCCACAGCAAUAGAAGCCUGUCUGGUUAAUAUAUAAAAAAACCAUUGUACACAUUCAUGCUUUUUUUCCCUCUUUCAGUGCAGAGUUGUUUUUCCCUUUCAUCUUGGUGUUUCUGAAGGCAAUAACAAAGCUUUGUCCACCAGCAGUUAUAAAUUUCUGGUGUGCCACACCCCCAAUUCACUGCUAUUAUGCUUGGGCUUGUACAGCGGGAACACCAGGGGGCAUUUUCAAGUAUCUUCUCCAUCCAGCUCGAGCAGUUCUCAUCACUCCAGAAACGUCUUUCUUUAGCUUAUAGGACAGAAGAAUGAGCUCCCUUCAGAGCUUAAUAUACCUUCACUUCACACAGAAGCUGAAAGGGCGCUGCAGUAAUGUAAUGAGAGCGCAGGCAAUCUGAGUUGGAAGUAAAACAUAUUUUCUCUGUUAUGUGCUCACCCUUUUCUGCCCUGGGGCCUAAAAACUGAAAUCUACGCUUUAAUUUAGCGUUCUCCGCCUGUACACUGAAAUGCUGCUAAUGAUUCCAGAGAGUUAAUAAGAGGGUAGCAGAAAUCGUAUGUCAGGAAUGUCUGAAACCAUAAAAAUUCUAGAGGCAAGACAAUUUGACUCAAGUCGAUGGAUUUUGAAAAUAUAAUUUUCUGUCUACUGGAGGCCGGGGAAGAGAACAUAUUGAGUUCAUUUGUAUCGUAGUAUUUUUUACAUACUCCUGAUUAAAUCAAAUUUGAAGCAAAGGUUCAUUUAACAACUUGGUGUGCUAUUAGUUUUUUUUAAGGAAUAGCUAAACUGAGUAGCUAUCAAAAUGAGGAUCAUUUAAGAAUCUAGAUCACUUUUAAAUAGGCACACUGGUUGUUGUUGUUUUUUUCUCUUUUUUUCUUUUCUUUUUUUUUUGUAAAAGCAAUACUCUCUGGAAAAAGAACAGGAUUUAUGAAUCACCAGCCCAGUUAUUCUUAUGAACGUGCCAUGUGUGUCAGUUCUUUUUUUCCCCCUUUUUUUUCUCCUAUGUGUGAGCAUCUUGUGGGCAAGCCUGUAGUGUGUCAUGAGUGCCGGGAUGUGUUCCAAGGAUAUUAAUACUCAUUUCCAGAGAGAUGGCAAUUUCUCAUGAUUUGUGAUUUGUAGACACGGCUACUUACGCUGUCUAAAAAUGCUGAACUGCGCAUCAAUUAUUUAACCUGUCUAAAUUUUUGUUAAUGCUGUGCAGAAGUUCAUUUAUUCAGUAAGAUAGUUGCUGUUCAUGACACUCCAGCAUCUGUUUCUGAAUGAUAUCUUCAGCUGAGUAGUGAAACUUAAAUCUACUUUGGAGCUGGAAGCUAAUGCAGGUGCAUGAUGCAACUUUAAGCUUUUCAUUUGUAUUUAAAAUAAAAUUGAUACACACUAGUUUCUUUCCCAGAGAAGUUCAACUUAAACUAAUUCUUAAUGAUCCAAAUGCAUUGAAAACUGGUUCAUAAAACGCUCAGAAACACAAAGCCAGUUUACUCGAGCGUUACUGUCAUGGCUAAAAAGCGUGCUUUCCUGGCAGCAACGUGACUGGUUGGCUUGUUUUUUCCUUGGUAUUGCCUUUACAUAGCUUGCUAAAUGAGAUGGAAAAAUACAUUACUGCAAUAUAUAUUUUCAGUGAGAUGCACUUGGGCAAGGUAUCCUCGUGCUGGUUGUCACAUCUAGUCCCAGCCUUCUUCCAGUUAGGCUGAGAUCCUUUUCAGAGGGAGCGAUGCCUCCAUUUUUCUGGAGUGGACAGAAGGAAAGAAGCUAAUGAAAAGCCAGUGGGUUGGGCAAGAGAUACUUGAGGAAGGGAGCAACACCCAGGCCCCUCUCCUGUGCCGGCUGGCGGGCGGUCUGUAUUGCUGCAUUGGUCUGUGAAGGAUGUGUUGCAGAGCAAAGCAACAAAGGCAGCAUGCUCAGCAUGCAGGGUCAGGGUGAUGCUCUGGACACCAGCUUACUGGUGGCCAUCCGUGUUAAGCUGUGGCCAGUGUUUACAGAGGGGUGAUGUGAUGUAAACAGUGUCAGCCAUGCUAGACCACAUCAUCAGGACAAGUGAGAUGUGUGCCAGUGCUACCCCAUUACCAGCAUAGUAAACCGAAUCUGUUAAGUCUAGACAAAAUUUUCUUUGCUCCCUAAUUUUGAAUGUACCUUUAUUAUUUUUAGUGGAUUGAGGCUGACAAGAGAUUUGUAUAAGAAGAUUUUUCACAAUUCUAAUGAGAAUAUGAGUCCUUUGUCAGCGCACAACAAAAUCCUGCAUCAUUCAUAGAAUUUAAGAUGGUGUUAAUGUUAUCCAAGAUUAUUUACAGCGUGCGACAGCUAAAUGUAUCUUCAGAGUGUAAUUGAUGCAUUCGUGGGCUUGGAUGUGGUCUUGCCAAUUAAAAUGGUGUCUAUAACCGAAGGCCAUUAGCCUCGUUACAUGUGUGUGAACAAGCUGGGUUCAGUCCCCAGAAAGGUAAUUAGCUGGCAAUGCAGCAAAAUGGUAGACUUUAAAAUUCUUGUGGUGGUGUCAUCACGGGCUAGGAAUAGCUUUGAGCCAGGGAAUUUUCCCUCAGUUUAAUUUAUGGUCAAUUAACAUGCUUUUAAUCACCCAUUCUGGUACUGAGCAAUAAAAACAGCCGAGUGUGUGUUGCGGGAAGUGCACCUGGCCCUCAGCAGACAGAGCGGCCUCCCCAGAGCCCCGUCCGCCAUGUUGGGCUGCCCCUUCCCCUCAGCCCAGGCCUGCUGCUGGCACCACAACUCACACAGCAUUUAGUCCUUAGCACAUACCUCACUUGUUUAGAAUAUCUUUCACUGGCCUUUUCCGUUCUUUUUGAGCAUAUGGGCACUGCUGGAAUAAUAUAUUAAGAAAGGAACAGAAUUUUCUUGCUGGCUCAGUAGUAGGCUUCAAUUUCUAGGGUUCCUAAACUUGUAUAAAAUUUAUCUUAUCUACGUCUCAUGAUCCGGUGACUAUUUAGUAAUAACGGUCACCCACACAGUGAGCUGGGACAACAUGCUGUUUGGUAAUGAGAGCUCCUGGAGUUCUGUGAAGGCAUCGAUUAAUCAUCCUGGUGCCAAUUAAAAAGGCCAUUAGAAAUACUGUCCGUGGCCUUCAAUCCUGCAUAGGGUAUUUGUUCUCACAGAGGUGCAUGGAUAGCGUGCUUGGACUUGCAGGCUUCCUUUUCCAGGAUGACAUGACCUGGCACUGAUCAAUGUACAUUCUGUCUUACAUUGUACCAUGGUUAGAUCCCAAAUUUAUUCCAAUCUAUUCAAUAAAUCAGGUUUGUUUCUGUAGUGGGACAUGGGUCUUUGUAUGGCACAGUUGUGCUCAAGCUCUCAUUGGAGUUGACCUGCUGAGUUAUUGGGGUAUGAUUUUAGGGUUACCAUUCACAAAUUCGUUUCAGAGCAGGGACUUUUCUGUCUUACAGUUCCUGGUGGGGAACAGUAUGUUAAUGUGGGUCUCCAAGUAAACUUUUUACAUAAUUAAUUGAGGGCGGAGGAGGUAACACUGUUUGUUACUUCAUUCUGAAUUCUUUUUUUGUCAAUUGCUUGCAACUUCUUCAUAUUUCACCUGUUUUGGUUGAGACAUGCCCAGUGCCCAUUGUGUGCCCUGACACGCUUUUCUUUUCCCAGAAAAGUUCAUUUGAAAAUGGACCAUUUAUGAGGCCGAGUACAGAGUAAUGCUAUUUGUCUGUGUGAAAAACCUCCCCAAAGUUUCUUUUUUUUUAUCAUCGGAGCAGAGCUCCAAUGCUUUGAGUAAGGAUUUGAAAAUUCCUAAGGGGCUAGCUUUUUGGUUUUUUUCUUGUAAGACAUCUACUUCAGGUUUGCAAAGGUACGUGACACUGAAAACCUGUGUUGUCUCACACUCAUCAGAGGCAUUAAGGUUUCAGAGCUGUGUGCUGCAAGAGAAAUGGGGAUGGAUCAAAAGGGUCCGCAGUACGCGCAGCACCCAAAUCAAGAACCUGGAAUUGAGCUUGGGAUUUUUCUCUGCUGUUAGCAAAUACUUUACGUAACACGGUAUCAGAAUGCAUACGUAUCAUCCUGUUGUCACAGAAAACAGUCUGCUACCCCUGUCUUUCAGCUGCUUAGGUACCAGAUUUUUCAUAAAUAGAUCUUCUGGAAUUGUUGCUAUGCUUGUUGGCAUCAGUGUGCUGCUCUGCUGUGGGAUUUCAGUUCAGCUUUCCAGGUUAUAUUAAAAAUAAUAACUCAAGCAGCCAGUAUACAUAAAAAAAUAAUAAUCCCAGCAAAAGAACUUCAGCCUUUUUUCCCAGCCCACAAACCCCAGAACUGACAUACAUAGUCUAUGCAUCAAAUGAAGGUUGGAGUUAAGCUCAUUUGUGCAUUUCUGCACUUUGUAUGUGAACAUUAUAAUUCAGUUUUCUGAUAGGAUGUAUUCAGAUACAUGAUGAUAUGUGUACUGAUAUGAUCAUGGAGCCCCAGGGAUUUUGUCUGCAGAAGGUGACACAGCUCUGCCUUGCACAAGUAAGGAGCUGCUUGCUUGAUUUUGCUGCUGGAAUUGUAGGUGCUUUGAGGAGGAAGGAGAGGCCUGUUCCUGUCUUGCAGCAUGGCACCAUUGCUGCCUCCCCCUUGUGUCAAGCAGACAGCACCUGCCUUUCUCCCUGUUCCUGAUUUUAAUAUGAACAGAGGCCUGGGCACCUUGCAGUUGUCAGAGCUGCCACUGAAAUCGGGAGCAAUGCACUGAACCCCACACCGUACUGGAAAGUGCCAAAUAGCCUUAGAGGGGGAACCCACCAACUUAGCGCAUGCACGUGCAAGGAUCUUAUAGGCAGCUGAUCUUCGAUUUGCCGUGCCCCCAUGCCCCAGCUUUAAAGCGUGGAAGAGAAAGUGCCUUUGUCAGAUGGGAGUGGGAGUGUUUGCAAAGAGCAAGUACUUUCUUUUCUUCUUUUUUUUUCCUUCUUUUCUUCAAGUGAUCACAUGGCAGCAUGCUGUGAAAGCUGGGAUGAUACAGAGAGUUUUGCAUUCAGAGCAAAAUCUAGAGCGUGUUACAAGGCAGCCAAUAAUGACAAUAAAGCCAAUUACUAACUGGCUUCCUUUCAGUCAGCGGGAGCCUGUAUUUGUCAUUUAUACUGGGGCAGAGGGAAGAUGCAGCUUGCGAACAAAUGUUGGGAGGGUUUAAAUGGAUAACAUUUUACAUGACAGUCAUUAUAAUGAUAAAGGAACAUAAGGCUUGUAUCUGCUAAAAGCAAAUUUAAAACUGAAGCCCCUUUCCUGCCCUUCAACUUAAAAUCUUACGAUUAUCUUAAAUCCCAAAAUGUGGCUUCGUUGUUCAUUUCCUUUUACCAGAAUGCAAAAUAACAAGAGCUUGAGGUUUUAGUGCAUUUGAAAGAAGUAAUCCCUUUUCCUUAUAAAUUCUGGUAGUGUUUUAAUUAAAAGCAUUAGAAGAACCAUCAUGUGCAACACAGUUUAAAACACACGUCUGUGCUGGGGAGGGGAUUAUGUGCAGAAUUUGUUCAGUUGCAGUGAAGAAGACUGGAUUUUGUUAUUUUGUUGUUUUAUCACCUGCAACUCAAUCGCGUAUUUUUACAUGGCAAAGGGAGACAGUGCUUUUGUGCAUUUCUCCCCUCAAUUUUCCCACCUUUAUCCCGAGUGGGCACUCAUAGCAUGCUUCAGCCCCUGUUUGUUUAGGCCACUGAGGAGCAGCGCUGUGCCCUGGAAGUCAUGUGGUUUUAUUGGGCUUCCAGGCUCACAUGGUGCUGCUGGAGAGGCGAGAUGCUCCCCUUCUGCAGGCUUUGUGAGGUGAAGAGGGUAAUCCAACAGCAUGCUUUAUGAGCUCACUGUAAUCUGGUGGAGGAGGUUUUAUGCCAGCAUUUUUCCUUCCCUGCUUUUCUUGAACAAUUUGCAUUAUGUCACCACCCCGUAAAGCCAUAUCUGAAAUACAACAUGGAGGUGAUGAUGAGCAAUAUAGAGUAAUGGAAAGAAGUUGCACUAAUUGCUGUCCAGAGUGAACGGUUUGGGAUUUUAAUCUCCAAUGUUUUGAAAUGAAAAAAGGUGGAAGAAAGAACUGGGGAUGUUAUGCCCAGUCACUGUAAUGUAGCACUCUGUAUAAGUUUUAAAAGGAGGAACAUUUAAGAUUUUCAGGAGAUGUUUUGAAGGUUGAAAGGCAUUUCCGCCCACUCCUUAGCCCGCGUGUAAGGACUGUCACCACUUCCACAGCUGCCAAUGCAGCUGACCUGGGUUGGAAUUGAAAGAUCUUUGAUUGACAUUUAAACAAAAUGUUAAUUUAUUUACAUAUGGUGUAGUCCUGGAGGACUUCUUUAGAUCACCAGAGGCCUUGUAAAGCUGAUGCCUUUGAUCAUUGCAUGGAAUCUGUGCUAUUUCUGUGUUUUUCCUCGCACAGUCUUGCUUCAGGAGAUGUGGUUUACUUGUAAGGUGUCUCUAAGGAGGUGUGUUUACUUUCAUACUUAGGUUUGUUUUUUUUUUUUUCCUUUUUUUUUUUUUUCUUUUUAAAGGACAAAUUCAAACAGGUGUCUAAAUUCAGCUGAAGUUACUGGCAUGUAAAAGCAUAAGAGCACGUAGAUCCAGAUAAUUUGGUGAAGCAGGGUUACUGUUUGAGAGAGAAAACGUGUCCCUGAAACAAUAACACAUGCUGGCUUCUUUGUUUGGGCAAGAGAAAAAAUUGCACUUCACUAAUUUUGGACAAGUAGUAAAUAAUGUCAGUGAACUUCUUUACUUUUCUUUGCUGGGUUGUUGGCUGGCAGUGGGCUGAUUGACCACCAGGUCUGGGAAAAAUCUGUUCAGGUGCCCUUUUCUUUCUUUCUUUCCUUUCUCUCUUUCCUUUCUUUUUUUUCUCUAAGUCUUCAGGAUCUCACCUAAUUACAUGGUGUGCAGAGCGCCUGUGGCCUAAUUCCUUUCUCCCAUUCAUUCAGGAAUCUGGGUGUUCCUCAGCAAACUCUCCCCAGCUGAGUUUAGUUAGCAAUUAUACAAUAAAUCUAAAUGUGUAUUGCUAUGAGCACUGAUGUAUGCACAAAAAAUAGGCCCGAGUGUUUCAUCAUAAAGGGGGAAUGAACAAAAUACUGUCAUUUCUGAUUUCACAAAAGUUAAGUAUUUGUCUUGCAAUAGUUUUAGAGUUUAUAGAGUCCAUGAAGAAAUGUGCCUAUUCAUGUAUGUUGUUUAUGAGUGCCUUCUGUUCAUGUAGGAUUUUUGUGUAUAAAAAACAGUUUACAGACUUGUGUGUGAUCCUUUUAAAGUGCCUGCAACAAUAUUUUCUUAAGUAUAGGCGUCCCAUGGAGGUGCAAUACCAGCAUUGCAGCAGGAAGCCCUGUGUAAAAUUUGGAGUAUACCCAUGGAGCCUCAACUGACCUUAAUAUUAUGUAACUAUGAACACCAUAAUGUAAAUUUGUUGAGAUGACACACGUUGCUACAUCUGAAAAGAUUUAAAAUGAGCUAUCAUUGCCACGGUGCCUGGGUGUGUCCUGCUGCACCAAGUGAUCCAAGAACAGAAUAUAUACUGUACACCUUUUCCAAGUCCCCUCUGCUCCGUGAUCUUGCUCUCUCUCCACUGAAGAAUGAGGCAUGCAGGCAGCCAUGUGUACCCUUUGUCACAGACAUCUCAGAAGAUGAAGCUGGGUACUGUCACGUUUGAUUUCGUGGCCAUUGUAAUCUCUUAGUUGUCAGCAGUUUGGCUCCCACCAAGAGCAGCCUGCACAGCACUUUGGGUCACUGACUGAAUGGAGCCUCUUGACUUUGCAGAAAUGAAUGAAAACGCAAUGAAAAGGAAGCUUUCCCUGGGAAAGCAGAAGAAAACGGCUGCAUAGUGUAAUAGCAGGUUGCAAGAGAGCUUAAUGAGGAUGCUUUAGAAAGCGGGGUGCACACUGUGUUCUGUUCCCUUCUUCCCUUCCAGAACCGCACCUUAUAUAUUGGACAAGGCAGGCAGGAGACUCUUAGGGUGUUUUAAAAGCAAGUAAAUGGGAGAGCAAACAGCUGUCACUAUUUAUUCUCUUUAUUUCCUUGGUGAAGCCAAAGGAAGCCUCUGAUGCUUCACACUCAGUGAAUGCUUGUCCCAUUUUCAUUGCCUGAUGGACUGUCUUUCGACACGCUGCACAAAGUGAGCAAGUGAAAUAUUGAAGUAGAUGACAAGAAAAGAAGAUGACAAAAGGAGGGACAAGUUCUAGAGAGCGAGUUAAAUGACACGAGCCUCCGAAGAUUUGGAAAAAGCUGUUUAAAAUUGCUGAGUACGAAGCAGACAUCGCCUGGGUCAGCUUUCCAGCAUGACAGCCAUAAACACGUGACCAAUAAUUCAACCCGCCAGACCGAGUGUUCGAGAGUGCAGAGAACGUGGACGCCGCGUUCUGCUUGUGCACCCAGAAUGCAGUACGUCAGCCUGGACCUCCCUGACAGCGUGCCUCCCGUCUCUCCCAUCCGCUCAUUUGGUGAGCGUCCUCCCUGUGAAAGCGCAGCCUUUCUGAUCCCAUUAGAGAAGAGAGGCUCUGUCUCCGCGGUCCUUUUUGCUGUCUGUGCACUCUGUGAACCGCGCCGUGCAUGGGGGAUUUGUUAAGAGUUGCACUGGAACCCAACGUGUCACAGGCAGCCUUGUUACGGCUGAAAUGCAGCUGACAGAAAGGAUUAGCUGCAACCGAGAGAGAGAAACAAAAAGUCAUAUUUUAAGGAAGAUUGUGGUGCAAAAUUCUGAUUAUUUAUUGGGCAAGGAGAUAGUCGGGGCUUUGUGUUAUUAGAGAUUCAGUGCCUUAGGAAACUGGCAGUGAAUUCAGCCUGGUGCUGCCAAACUGUACUUCAGAAUAUGAAGAAGGAGAAAAAAAAGCAAAACAAACAGAAAAGCCUCUAUACCCUGCAGCUGCAGAGAAAAUACUCAGAAACUCACUGUGACCAGAGCUGUGUUCUUGUCUUGAGUCAGCAAUCAGCUUGAAGCAAUACCUUUGAGAAGAGCGAACUGUGCUGGUCAUUUCAAUGCAUGUGAGCUAUGAAGUCUGACGUGUUUCACAGCAGCGAGCUCCUUUCUGUUCCUUUUUGCAAAAGCCUCAGUGUGCCGUUUAAGAAUGUAUGUUCUUGGGAGAGAAGAAGAGAACUAGAAGGCAGGUUUGUUAUAAUUACUCGUGUAAAUUAGAAAAAGAAAAAGAAUAAAGGGGGAAAAGGAAAAGCAAGCAAGUUUUGAAAUUGUGUAGAAACAGAGAAACAAGGGAUAUUUUCUUUGCCCACCGGAAAAAGCUUUAGUCAUAUCCGGACUCUUGAAAAAAUCACAACAAAACCCCCUUCUUCCCACCAACUCCUACAUUCUCGGCAGUGCCAUAUGCCCCAGCUCACAAUUAUCCAGCUCUUAAUGCAUUCCACUUCUGCUCUGACAGCUAUACAGUGUACAACAGUUGCAUAGAGUCAGAAGGCAAAUCUGUGAAGCACAAAGAAUCAAGAAUUUGGUGAUAGUUUAAAAGAAAUGCAGAGAACGUGGAAGGAAAUAACUUAAGCUGGUUACUAAUGGUGUUUUUUUUUCCAUUUCUCUUUGUGUCUAUCUAAACCUGCUGUCUCAAAUCGACUUAGCACUGUGAAUUUCCCCCUUGGCAUCACUUCUCCAGCAUUUACACGGAGCAGGCUGCAAAGUACACGGGAUCUGUACCCAGUGCUCAUAAUCACCCUAAGGAACCUGUUAAUCAGUGGAACAAUUGCGUGGUUAUAUGGUUUGCAUCGUGUUUGAGCACUGGAGCUCAAUGUUAGAAAAGCACUGCAGUUGCUAAUAAUUAGUCCUUGGUAGGCUUCACAAGGUUUACUUCAGUCCCCUCAUACCUACAGCAUAUCUGAAGUAUCUGAGCCGUUUAAGGGUCUGGGAGGUAGUACUUUGUCAUUGUGUAAGGCAGAAGGCCUGUGUGGGAAAGGGCGAGGGGACUGUGAAAUAAUUACUCGCUCUGCGUUUAAUUUGAGUCAAUGAAAAUGCCAGGAUGAUUGAAGUGUUUAUGCUGAGGAUCAAGGAGUAGGAUGGGGAUGGGGUAAUCAAACCCAGGGACAUCUUUCUUAAAGUUUUUAAGUAUUUCUUAGGGGGGGAAUAACGCAGAACUCACAGUACGGCAGGGGAGUGUUGGAAAGAAAAUCAGGAUCAGAGGUCACACCUGUGUGAAGCGAUGGCUUGAAAAUGACAAGUAAAAAUAGAAAAAUGCUCCACUUGACGGUGAUUAAUGGGUUCCUUGACCUGAGGAGGAAGACCAGAGGUGGCUUUGCACUGUGGAGAUGGUAAUUUGAUCGUGGCACUUAACAGGUGAAAAAGCUUGCUGUUACAAAUACAGCAAAAAAAAAAUAAAAAUGACUGGUCUUAAUUAUGUAUGGGCACUCAUGCCCCAGGCCUCCAUUGCCCAGCUCUGCUUUUCGGCUGCACCAGCUGUGAUGCUUUCAGUUUGCCAUUUUUCCAUACCUUGAAUAUGAUUCUCCUAUUCAUUUUCUUCCCAGCUGUCCAGUGUAGACUUUACUUUAUGUUUACCUGUGCUUUGCUUACCUUGAGCACUGAAUAUUCUGCUCUGCUCAGGUGCCCGUUUCCUCUGGCACCACGGCACUGUUCAAGCAGCCCCAUAAACUUGGUAAGCAGAUGUGCAGGGCUUAUAGAGCCAGUAUUGCUGUAGCUGGGUCUGUACGUAUGGCUUCCACAACGUGGGAGGUGGGAUCAGUCCGAUCUUGCUUACACAUCUCUCGUAUCCCAGGGGUAGGGAAACAUUUGCCAACGCCCUACAACUUUGCUUCUCUGCAAGCUAUGAAAGCCUGGAUUCUGUCAGCUUUUUGCAUACUAAGAUGAAAAGCAUGCUAUGGGCUGCUGGCUGCUUCUGUUCAAACAUGAAGCGUGGAUUUUGAGGUUAGCAGAGGUCUGUUUGCUUAAAAGAGAUUCUGAUCGCGAUGAAUUAUGAAAAUGUCAAUAAAUGCCACAUUUUAGAAGGUAAUAAAAUGACUGUUAACGUGGAAGGCAGAGCUCCAGGCAAACAUUAACAGCAGCCUGAACCACCUACCUGUGUGUACCUUCUUCCUCUGUGCCGUGAGCUCAAGGAGCUGAAGCAGCCCUGCAUCUGUGGAGGGAAUUCUCGAAGGCCCAGAUAGUCAAUAGUGCUUCACAGAACCCACGUUCAUAAUUCUGUUACUUGGCAUGUGAGUUUCAGUCCUACUUUCCCAUGCAGUGUGUGACACGAAUCCAUUUCUCCAGUAAAACUGUCCAGUACUUCACAAUUUAGUAUGGUGCAGUUGAUUGUGUGUUUGGACGCCACGAUGCCAAGUUAUAUUUUGCUUUGAAAUAUCGUGAAAACGGCAAUUUGGAAGAAAUAAAUAGUCAAAUUCCAUGUUUAGCAUGUUUCUCUUUUGCAAUAUCUUCUAAAAAUGUACCAAAGAUUUCCUCUAAGGACGUGAGUUAAAAAUAAGUACUCUUUCCUUGCUUCAGGUCGGGGUUUAAUUUCUCGCCCACGCAGCCAGGAGUUACCCAGCCCUUGCCAAGUUCAGAUGUGUGUGCUAUCACAGCACCAGCGGAGACAUUAUCAGCCCAAAGGAGCCAUUUGGGGAGCACUGCUAUCCACAGGUCUUGCCCUCCCUCUUUGCUGGACUUGAAGUCUGAUUAGUGUUUAGACAUCACUUGGAGAUAAUGAUAAUGUGCCUUUUAAUUAGCAUCAAUAUUUCUAAUCUUUUGGGGAAUAAUAAUGUUCUUCUUUUUUAGCCCUUGGCUGUUGACAGAUGGCCACUUAUUAAACAUCAUUAAAUUCUGACAUCAAUCAUUUUUGUGCUUUUUAAAGUAUGCUCGUCAUUUAAAUCAAAUUAUAUACACGGGAGGAAGGUUUUUCAGUCUGGGUUGUUUAGACUUUGAUGCAGUGCUGAAGCAGCAUUUAGCAGAGGCCUUGUUUUUUAAGAUGCUAUAAGUGUAAUUUCAGGGGCAUUGCUAACUUGUAAUUUCAAUGUACGUGCCUGUAUGAAUGGGGGCUCUCACGGAAGCAGCCUGGAUGCUUUUGAGACAAAGCCGCUACUUAAACGUUUAGGAACUUGAACUUUUGAAAAGCCUGCACUCGUCUGCAGAGAACAUUCAGUGCAUUUACACAGGAAUUCACCUCGUGUGUGUUUCUGUGAACGCAGUGAAGAAGUGAAGGUGAAUUCCUGUAUGUUAUUUGUAGCAGCGCUUUACUGACUUGGCGCAUUCUUGGCUGGAACCUCUGGUUCGUUGUUGGUGAAACUUUGUUUAAUGGGCACAAUUAUAAUCUGCAUUGUGUCCUUGCUCAUCUUAAUAGCAGUAUUAAUUUGCAGGAAGGGACAAAAAUUAUCUUGCAGAGUUAUCAAGUGGUGUUUAGGCUUUCUGAAUGCUAAUUAAUUCAGAGCUCGGAUGCUGUACCUGCUGUUUGAAAGGCUAGCAGCUUGUAUUCAUCACCUGAGUGACAGCUGUUCCUUCCUUUUUUUUUUAUCUUUAAAGAGAACGGGGAAGAUUAACUCCUUCCAUGCUGAUGAUUGAUUGCCACACUGAAGUAACAAUUGCUUUCUUCCGAUUUAAGAUUUGCAAUAUUUUGUCUUCAACUGAUGUCUGGUUUUGACAGCAUCUUAGUGAAAGGAAUGGUGAUAGUGCAUUGUUAGAGAAAUAGCUAAAAGUAGCUCCAAUACACUGCUGCUUUUUCUGUGAUCAGGAAAAAGAGAAGUAUGUCGGAGGGUUAAUGCCAGAACCAGAUCCUCCGUAUAAGCUAGGAGAGAAAGAAUUAAAAUAAAAAGUCAGAUUUGAACAUUUACAGUAAGCGAGAAAUCUGAAGAAUUUUUCUCUUGGACUCAAGUCCUUUUUUUUUAAUAUUUAAUGUCAAGGAAAUCAUUAAUUAGCUGUAAUUCAAUUAAAUUUUCACUCACCCAGUUAAAUAAGAAAAUACUACAAAACAGUUUUAUAUUGCAUGUGAGUUAUUAUCUGUGACACAAAACUGCUGUGCUCUAGGGAGAAACGGUGGUCUUUGGUAGUGAAAAGGGGCUUUGGAGGCAUGCAGGUAAUUUCCUUUAAUCUGAAAAGAAGCAUCAUCUGGUGUAAGGCGGGUGUCCCUCUGCAGGUUGGAGAGGAUUAUGCAGUUUGUUUAAUGAUCGAUGAACAAGGUACAAAUACUGGAUUACAUUCCUUCUUUUCCAGGUAGCUAAGUGUAUAUGUAAAAUCCACCCCUGCAUCCCCUCCCGUUCCCCCUGGUAGAAGUAGUUCAGUUGUGCGAUGCUUUCUUUUUGGAAACAUGAGACAAAUCAUAAAAUCAUAGAAUGGCCUGGGUUGAAAAGGACCACAGUGAUCAUGGAGUUUCAACGCCCCUGCUAUGUGCAGAGUUGCCAACCACCAGACCAGGCUGCCCAGAGCCACAUCCAGCCUGGCUUUGAAUGCCUCAACAGUUGUCUCACGUCAGAGGGCUUUACUUAAGCAGUGGUGCCAAACAGAGUUCUGUAAAGGCUCUCCAUUAGUAUUAGGGCACAUUCAAGUGUUUCUGCUAUUAUUUGUUUUGCUAUAUACAUGUUUCAGAAGUGUAGAUGUACAGUAGAUGUGUCAUAUAUAUUUUUUUUUCCUUAUCAUUUUGAAGACUGUAUCUUUAGAGGGACUUGGGGUGGACUUGGCUGAUGCCUUUGGGUUUUGAAUCCGCUCACAUCAGUUUUUACGCAUUCUGAUUCAGUAAAUCUCAUUAAGCGUGUUUAACUUCCACCAUUCACUGAAAGUUCUGUUGACUUCAGUAGCAAAUUAAGCAUAUGUUUAAAUGUUGCUUGGAGCCUGAGGGAAAGGUGAUUAACCUAAAGAACAAAGCGAUGCUAUUACAAUAUUUUAACUCAUUAAAAUCCAGUAGAUUUGCUGAUACUGACUCAGUAAGUGCUCUAUUUUAAAACAAUUACCUUGUACUUAGCUGGCUCUCUUGUGCAGCUUGGAAUACCAACAUCAGAGCACCAGCUAGGUAUUUCUGAGUAGGCAGUACAUUUCCUUUUGCUUUUGACCUACUGUUCAGCUCUUAUAAAUAAUUAGUGAUUAUAAUUCCUAUUUGAGAAUGCAAACUCAUUAUCAAAAUAUAAGGUUUGACACGCUUGUUUACAAAGUGCUCUUGAAAACUGAAAUCAUUUUUGAAGAAAUGACUGUCUUGUUGCAGGUUGCUCAAGCAUCUUUUGUUAUUACUCAUUAACUUCAAAGGACACUUUUAGCCUCCAUGCUCAGGAAUGAUUUUUUGAAAGGCAUUUUUAUGAUAAAAGCAUGCAGCAGCUUACUAGCAUUGUAGUAAUAGUAAGACAAUAGUAGUAUUGUCUUAGUGUUGGUGUAAAUUUAUCGUACAGUUUGAGUGAGUAAAAAUCACACCAUGGCAAGAUGGAGAUGUGAUUUUUGAAUAAACAUGGGAGGUACUGCGAUGAAUCCAGCUACUAUUAAGAAAAUGCACAGCAAUAUGUAGUUCUGUUCUCAGUAUGCUAUUUAUUAAAAGUUCUCUUACCUUUCCAGAAUUUAGUGAUACACUUUGUCUCUCCCCCAAAGUAGUUCUUAUAUUUAUGUACGACAUUUGUAAGGCUUCCACGUGUGCCUGAGAGUAGAGAUUUGUUGUUCUCUAACCCGCAGGGAGAAAUUCUAAACUAGCCCCAUGGUGGUUCCAGUACAAGAAGGUAGCUUAUGGUGUUUGGGGAACGUUGUUGCUUCUCUUUUUUUAGUUGACAGUAAAGGAAAUAAUCAAACCAGGACAGGAGUGUUUGGGGAGGCUGGACAUGGCAUUGGUAGCUUCUCCAAGUUGCUGUGCUGGAGACAUUUCCCACAGCAGUAUAAACCAGUGCAUAGAAUGGCUCCUGCAGUUACUGCGUGUGCAAAGUCACGAGCUAAUUAAAGCCUUGGAGUGAGUUAUUUGGGGUCUGUAGUCUGUCUUGAGUUUCUUGAAAUAAAUCUUGAGCGAUAAAGCUGAAUAAUUAUUGCUGCAGUGGUGUUAAAAGCUUACGAUGAUUCAGUCUCGGUGUGUUCUCUGAGUCAGACCCAGGAACCAUCGAGUCUGCUGACUUGUGUUUGCUUCUUGACCUUUUGGCAAAGAUCAAGUGGAGCAUAUGUUUUUAUCAGUUUAAUAUCUGUUAUGUCCUCAACUUGAGGAUUUUAUAUUAAAUGAGUUUGGGGACUGGGAAAUGUACUAGGAGCUUACACCAUCCUCUCCAUGCGUGAAGCUGGCUAUUGCUGUGUUUCUAGAAUGCUGUAAAAAAGAAGAAAAAAAUUAACAAGUCCCCAAAUGACCAUAAAUGAGCGUGAAGGGAAGAGCAGGAACAGAGCAAGCAUAGAUUACGCUGCUCUAAACUUUUCUCUUAAUCUCUGCUUAUUUUCAGCUCAAGGGGUUUCCCUUAACCUCAGUAAAACCUCUGUUAAAAAACAAACAAACAAAACACUGCUUCUGGCUGCAUUUCAGCUUUGUGUUCACUGUCCUCUCAGUCCAUAUUAAUAACUAUUUUGUAGUGUCCAACCUUGAGAUGUCAGAUUAUAUCUUCCAGACUGGGCAUGCCUUUGUACUGAGAGGAUGCAGUGAGCCUACGCUCACUCUCAUCCCUGUUGAGGUGCGAGUUACUUCAUCAUUGCUGCUGUUGGUCUUCACUGACCACUCUUACAGGUGCUGUUUUUCUGAGGAAAACCAAAAAGAAAAAAAGAACAAUUGGUAAUAGCUCCAAAAUCCCAAAGAAGCAUACUGCAUUAUCGUGCAAUAUGGGGUUACGUUGCAUUUGGUUAUAGACCAUUGGAAAGGAGUAGACAUGAUCUAUAACUUUGAGGAAACAGUGCUGCCACAAGUGUUUAAAACUUACUCUGAAGCGUGUGGAAAGCAAUGGAGAGUUGGUGUUAACUCAAACAUUUCUGAUUGAUUAAGUACCAGCUUAUGCCAUUUUAUGCCCUGUUAUAAACUGCAGGUCCAGAACUGUUCCUGUAUGUAGGAAUCAGUGGGUGGCUAACAGGAGCUGUUUCUGUUUGGCCUGUGACAUAGUUACUGCUGAGGUCUAUGUAAUGCAGCAGGUGAUGACAAGAGGGCUUUACAACAUCUUUUGAAACAGAAUCAAGCCACUAAAUGACAAGUGAAAGUGACAGGGUGAAAAUUGGAAGUUGUAUUAGAAGUAAAAUGAAUACUGCUCAGAUAGGGAGUGAUGGCAAUCCUUUCUGGGUGACAUAAGAAUUUGACCCACUGUGGAUUUCUUACUGGGUAUGUGAGGUAACCCAGAAAGGAGGUACCCGUGUCACUGUAAAUCAGUUCCCCCAGUUAAGCCUCAUUACCUGGCCACCUUCAGUUUUAAAUUAUUUGACCCGCCAUGGUUAAUAAAUAGACCAUAUAGUGAAGUUGAUUUGGCGUGACAUUUUUGGUUGUGGGUUGGAUGUCGAAUUAAUUACAGUGGAGGAAAAUAAAAACAAUUAUUUCCCUAAAAUCCCCACGUUUUCUAUCCCUUGCAUGUUGAAUUGGUUGGUGAUACCCUUGUCGAUAUUUCUGGCCUCCGUAUUUAGAUUAGGACAUAUUAGGUAAAGCUGAUGAUUUGGGGAAAAAAUCAUAAUGCUAGUUAAUUGUGACUUCUUAAUGUUGCUAUUUGAAGGAAGACACAAUAUUUUGCUUUUAAAAAAUUCUACCUAGAAUCAAAAAGUAAUGUCUGCAAGAUAGAAACCCACUGCAGCCUAAUACCACAUUAUUACUAUGUGUGCUACUCUGCUUACAUGUUAUUGUCAAUAUAUGGCAUCUACCUGCAUGGAAGGUUUUGUUUGUCAUGGGAACAAAGUGAUUGCUCCUCAUUUUUCCUGACUGCUGAGUUCUUUUAGCAAAAAGCAUUUUUAUCCUGGAAUAAAUACUGAUUCUCUCUUUUCUGUCUCUGAGAACAUUAAUAUAGUAAGAGUUACAUUCACCGUGAGGGCAGCUCAGGGCCCAACAGGCUACUUAAAGCCAUGACACUCGCCAGCGUGCGAGAAGUGUCUUCAUUGCUUUGGAGGGAAAGCAGAGAGGUUAGCAAUAGCUGAGUUGUCCCUUUCUAAACAGGCUGAAAACGUCCAGGUGAGAAUGCAAAGGUUGAGACAAUGCAUGGGAACACAUCUGCGGAACAUCCAUUGGUGUAGCUGUCCUUCAGCUGCUGGGGGAUUGCUCAUCGCUGGGGGGGAUGCAGUGGCAUCUUCCUGAUAGACACGUUGAAAAGAGCAGGCAAGAGCCAUGGGAAGGUGUGGGCAGGUUAUUGAUAGAACCGCACACUGCCACUUCCUCUGCAGCUUUCUUAGGAUGCUGUUGUAGGAAACAGCUGCUCCUUUGCAGAUGACUACCUGUGCCUGCUGCUUUCCUUGUGUUUCCUCUCAGCCUGCAUCCAUGUGUGCCCCUAUGAGAUCGCGUGUGUCUGACUGUGUGACUGUAGAAAUUACGCCUUGCAUGUGCAAGAUUUUUGCUCCCUUAACUCCAGAAUUAACUGUCAUUACUCAAUUAACAAUUGGAACACAUAGGUAAGAUUCCAAGGUUCUCUUCAAAGAGUGACACAUAAAGUGACUUCCUUCUGCUGCUAUAAAAACAACAAUUAGCAUUCUAAUAAAUUAGUUCGGUGGAAUUUAUAGCAACACAAUAAGCUUUGAUAUUUGUAAAGUCAGUGCUAGCUUCUGAUACGCUGAAUCACUGACUAUUAUUGUGAAAUCCUUUUUUGGAUGUUUGCAUGCUGGACACUUGUCCUUGUAUUACAGCAUUGGCCAUUGUCUUAAUAAAAUGUUUUUGAAGCAAUGAAGGAAAAUGAUAAGGAUCAUCCAUCUCCAGCAGAAUGUUAAUUGUCUGUCUCCAGCAUGAUGCUAUCACGCUUCUGUUCCAGAGUCAGUGCUAUUGAAUUUGGAUCAAGCCUUCAUUUAAUUGUUUUUUUUUUUUUAAUUUUUUGAAUGUAUUUUUUUAAACACAAUUGAAAAAAAAAAUAACUCCCACACUCCUGUGCCUCAUACAAAUCAUAAUGCUGCCACUGACUUUACGAGAAUGGCAUUCUUUGAGAAGGUUUUAAGUUGAAAUGGGGCUUUCAAAUGGCUUGCAUUAGUUAUCCUCAAGGGAAUGCAUUUCCUAAGGGGGAAACUACAGUUAAACUGAUGUUUUGUGAGAUUUUGUACUGAUGUCAAACUUCGUUCUGCUGCAUGAAGUAACACAAUUAAAGCACCAAAAUAGCAAAACAGAAGCAGCAGAACUUUGUUGAACUUGUAGAUGUUUCCACAUAGGUGAUUAAAAUUUGAUAGGAGUGUUUGAGGCAUGUCCACGUGAGAUGUGAGAAAAACAAGCCUUAAGCAAGUUAGCAAUUUCCCUCCAAAGGGUUUUAUGCAGAGGAAAGAAGGCAAUAUUUAUGUGCAAUAGCAGCUGGGUGUUUUUAGAAUGACUUUUAAGUUCUUUUAUAGUAAGCCUCUGCACCAUUAGAGAACAGAUAUGAAUCAGAUACGGUAACAGUUUGUCCCAUGUGUGUGAAGUGGUCUUCCAGGAUAAAAUUACAAUGUCUUUCCUUCUAAAUGUGGUACUCAUUUGGGAGUAAAUUAAUUAAGACUGUCGUUCUGCAGUUGUGACAUGGUGAGGCACUCAGGGUCUCCGUGUAAAACUUUUUGGUACAUCAGGAAAAUAAAAGCAUUUUUCCUAGUGGUUCUAGAGUUGUUACAUGAUACUUUAAAUAAAUGACUUAAUUCCAUGCUCAAAAUACCCAAAGGUAUAAUAUCACAUUAUUGUCGUUAUUGACUCAGAUGGCAGCAGUUCACAAGCUCUUUCCUCAUUUGAGAGCCUUUCCUCACGAGACAGGAGGCUGGUCUGUGUGCUGUGCCCUACCCGGUUUACUGUUUUAUCCUUACUUGUGACUCAAACACAUGAAGAUGAACGUAACACACGUAAGUCAAACAGACACAAAUGCCUCACUUGGCGUUCCUCACUUGGCAUUCCUCCAGCGAUCUUCACUGAUGGACAGGCUGUAUGGGGGGGUUUUCUCAGUGGGAACAUGAUACGGACUGCUUAGUUAUUCUGUACAUGCUGGAAAACUGGGUGGUUUCCCUGUUCCUCUUUGAGUGGAGAUCAAAAAUUCAUGCAGCAGAAAGGUUAAGACUGCCAGUAAUUGAAACACUCAGUUUCGACAGCAGAAUUGCAUGUGAGCUUUCCAGUGAAUUGUAGACAAUCCACGACUUGAUGUCUGCAUCUGUUUAAGCACAAUUACUUUCUGUGCUUAUUUGAGUUAUCCUGUCAUUUUCUGUUGAAGUGUUUUUUCUGCUCUAAAAUGAACCUAAUUGCAAAACCAUUUCAGGUAACAAUAUUGAAUGUAAAGGUAUGUGUCUCUGCACGGCUGUUGUUGUGUGUGAACUCCUCGCGAUACUAUCUCAGUGGGGUGGAAGGAAAAUCAAGAGCUGAAUCUUUUUAAAAUGCAUUUGAAUGCUUUCCUCGAGUAGUGAUUAUGAGGAAUGAAUAUAGCCGGAGCUUAAUCAUAAACUUUUCCCUUCCCUGUCAGUACUGACAUUUACUUGUUUCUGCACAAAUAGAUGAAUCAUAGCUAAUGAUUUAUUUUGAUCAUUUAUAGCGUUAAUGCAAAACUUAGUCUCAUGUAUUUUGACCUCCAGAUUAGCUAGACCGAAAGCCUAACAGCCACUGUGUUGCAGAACUGUGGCACUGCUCUACAGGGUAGUGUAGUGCUCUACAGCCUGGGGUAACAAGCCACUGGUGCACCCUGGGUGACUGCAUGCAGAAGGAGCAUACAGGACAAUCCAUCAUCCAGGGGACGUUUGCUAGCGCAUAGUGCAGGAAGCUGAGUAUUUAGUAACGCUUUUCUUUCAUGUGAAGGUUUACCUAUGGCUCCUGUUAUGGGUGAAAUUCAGUAGGAGCCUGUGAUCCCAGUGCAUCUGACUCACACCCAGCAUCUUAGUGGACUUCACAACAGUACACCUGCACUCCUGGCUGCUCGCUGUCCGAAACAUCCUCCAUUUGAGUGAGAAAAGGAAGUGGGUGUGUAAAAGAGGGGAGGACUGAACAACUUUACGCAGAGGAUGGAGAGUGGUGGUACUGCUCAGGAUAAUAACUUCAACUCUGAUUUGCUUUCUCCCAUUGCAACAAGGCAUCUGUAUUCUCUGCAGAGCACAGACGGCCUGGAGGAAGCUUUUGUUCCUGGAAACCACGAGGAAGUCAACAGAUCACUUGGGAAAUUGAAGAGGAAGCAGGGCUGGACUUGUGAUAACUUGUUUUCAAAGAAAAAAAGAGCGUGGAAGGGUGGGGAAGGGGAAUAGUGGGAAGAACACGAGGAAGAACUUAGGUAUACUUCCGUCUGCAGUACUGUAAAGGUAAUACUGCUGUGGUAUCAGGUGUCCCAAGCUGCCAGCCAUCAGUAACAUCAAAUCUUUGCAUCCAUUUCACGUGCAAAAGUCAGCUUGCAGAUGGCUGGCACUUCAGGGGGGUCACUGGCAGUAGUGAAGGAGUAAGACUGAAGGUUUCUGGGCUGAGAUUAGCUGAAGUCUUCUCUUAUCAUACAAUAGCUUAUUACAUGAUAGUAUUCAGGCAAAUGUAUAUAGUCUAACAGUAUGUCCAUUAUUUUGUCUAGCAAUCAGACUCUACAUUUUGUGCUGCAGAAACAAAUGCCUUUUUCAAUUACCUUAAUAUGCUACAUUCUUUAAAUUAGAUGGUCUAUAGGCAGCAUAUAAACAGCACUCUCCAAUAUUAUUUCAGAAAAUGAAUAGCAUGUGUGUUCCCUCUGCUAAUCUACAAGAGAAACUGCCGAGUGACAUAGGCUCUUGUUAUUUGCUUCCAUAUGAACAGCUCUGAGCAAGUGUCCCGAAGAAAUGCACACUGACUGCAUUCUGGCUUGUAGAAGGCCGUGUGUCUAUUUGACAUGUUCUCAGUGGAGAAUUGCUUAUCCAUGCCCGAUCCUGACUGGUUUCACCUUCCAAAAGAAACUAGCAUAGGUCAAAUGUUGGCAAGAUGGAUUGAAAAGUGCUUCCAGCUGAUGGAAAUGCUUUUGGUAACAAAGUGGAGGAAUUUGAAAUCUAAUCUAUUCUCAGUGGAAAAACAGCAAAUAGUCCAUGUUUCAACACUUACAAGCUAUUCUAGUAUCUGAAGUGCUGACAUACAUGAGUUCUGCGAAUGACAGAUGCCAGGAAUCAACUAAUUUUGCGUGAAUGCUACAAAUACAAAAUAUCUUCUAUAAUGGACUGUGAUGUGCCAAAAGAGCUUUCUUAUUUACUAGUUCACUGCAGUGCUAAUAGCCGUGCUUGUACAUGAAUGUCUCCAGACUCUUCCUUCUCCAGUUCUUGUGUUCAUUGUCUUUGGCAUUCCUAAUUUCUCAUGUCUUUCCCUUCCUAAAAUCUUACUUUCCCUAGCACAGUUGAACUUUUCCAUCCUUUAUUUCAGUGUUGAUUAUUUCGGGCAGUCAUUUUUAUCCCAUCUGAAUGUAUAUUCACUCUUGCCUGUGUUGCUGGUUCUUCUGGCUUUCUUCAUAAGCAGUUCCUGCGGUGUUCAGAAUUUCCUCUGCGUGUGAGCUGAGGAGAAGGAUGUUCCUUACUAGGCAAAGUCUGUGUUAUUCUUCCUUAAUUUUGGUAGCUGUUUGUCUUCUGUUCCCUCCACUUGUCUCUGACUGUAAGUGCAGUGUAAGUUAGAGUUAGGGCCAAGUGUGUGCGAGGUUUCCUGUUGAAAUACAGAAUAAUGAUGGAGAUGUGAGUCACAGACUGACUAACACUUGGCACAACAUCAAAGAAAGUAUGCAUCUUUCUUUAUUAUAAUUUUCCUUUUAUUUCUUCCAUUGCUUGUCCUUUUUUUCCUCUUCUUCGUACCUCUCCUAACUCAUGUAUACAAUUAAUUGACAUACAUAUUGUAGGAGAUAUUUAACUAAGCAUAGCUGCUUUCUCAUCUGCCUAAAACAGGACGCUUCUUAGGAAUGUGAAUUAUACCCUUACCCACACCAAACAUCUCUCUUAAGCAUAGCUGGAAGCUGCUUUGUGGAUUUUAAGGUGCCAUUCCCUGUCCAGGAGAAAAAGAAACUGGAAAAAAACAGAGGGCCUGACCUGAGUAGGAGUGCAGAGCUGCCUUUCGGGCUCAGCAAGGCUAAUGGAACCUCUUGUUCCCUCCCACCACCCUUUGCACAUCACAGGUUUCUGAGUGCAACUGGCCUGUGUAAAUUUCUAGCAUAAAUUCAGUACUAGAUGAGGCAAGGAGUCUUUACAGCUGUUUUGUUGAAAUCUUUUAAAAUUUCAUUUCCCCUGACCAGGGCAGUCAGCAGAGACAGAUUUCUGUAAUAAGGGAACAAUCGUGUUUGACUGUCUGAGCAAAUUCUUCCACUACCAAUUGACUACUGAGAUGAAGUGGAAUUUCUUACAAAUCCGGUUACAGUGGGUCAAGCACCACGUCUGCGGUUGUGCUUAUUUUUUGGAAACCUUGGUAGGGAUUUAUUUUAGCACAACCGUUUUAUAAUGCUUGCAAUACGUUCAUACUUUGGUUUGCUGCUACUACAGAUAAUGGAUGACUACUUAGUUAAUGUUUGACGGCGGUUACAAUACACAUCUCCCAAAGUUAAGUGUCCUUAUGUCUUUAUAUGAGAACUGACCUUCAGGGACAGUAAACAUAUUGUUUGGCAACAAGUUAAUUACAGACUUUAUCUUCCAAAAACAUUCAUGUCACGGGUGGGAUAAUUAAGAUGUCCUUGCAAGGGAAAAAAGAGUUCUUGAGUUAUAGUAGCAUUCCAAAGUAGGUGUUAGAAACCGAGGUCACACCAGUAUUACAGGGUCUGCGUACUCACGUUGUUUUGUCUAAAUAAUUCUCUUCAGGCUAUAAAAAUGAAAGAUGGACUUAGCUGAUGUGUGUGGCAAUAUAUUCUGUAAGUCUGUGAAACAACAAAAGGAUCUGGGUCUUGCAGGGGUGUGAUGGGCAGGCAGAACUGAUUGUGUUUGGUUUACUGCGGGAUUGAUUGCUAGGGUUUAUUUUGUUUUUCUCCCCUUUCCUCCUUCUAAGGCCCAAAUCUUUUGUGAAAUGGCUGGGAUCGCGUUGGCCCUUUCUGAUUUUGUAAUAUGAACUUCAUGGUGAUAAAUAGCUAAUUAUUUGCAAUUGAAUUAGGCUAUGAAUUUAAAUAUGACAGAAACAGAUGUACUGGUGAUUACCUUCAAUGCAUUGCUCGGAGGAUCCACGUUUGACACAGUAUAAAUACAUUCCUGAAAUGUUAUUUCUGGAGUGGGAUAGCACAGCUAUUGAAUCUUAUUGAGGGGUUAGUGAAUAUCCUCCAGACCACCGCAUCUCAGAUAUGGAGUGUGGUUUCUGUUCUGUUUUUCUCUGGAAAUAUUCAGAGAGAGAGGAGUAUUCACUGCUGGGAACUGAAGUUCUUGUUCAGGAGCAUUGCAUCUCUAAGCUGCAGGCGUAUGGUUUCAGUCCAAUUUCGAUAGAUUUUUUUCACACUAUACAUUCACAAGGGGACACCAAGUGCUUUCCAAGGAUUAACUCCCCAGAGGGGCACAAUGUGGUGGAAUAAAAUUGUUCUCAGCAUAAUUCCCACUGUAAGCAAUUUUGUAGACGGUACUUAAAUGAGGGACUUUGUCAGCUGGCUGAAUUACAUACAGUAUAAUGAAGUAGGUUAACUAUCCCAGCAUGCCUUUGUGUUAACAUGGAACUGAUAAUGACUACACACUAAUGUAAUUUUAAGAUUUGAUUUGCAAUAUCUUAAAACAACAACAACAAACAAAUGAAAAACAAAAUCUCUCCAUCUUCUCUUUCUCAAAAUAUGAUUCGGGAGAUUGAUAGGUCUGAUAAUCAGAUAAUCCUGAGCUACUGUUUUCAGUUUGUUUUUCUCUUUGGAAACCUGCAGCAAAGGCAAACCAUUCCAUUUUUAAUAGACAGUACAAUUUUGGACAAUCAAAUACCUUCAGAAUGGUUUUUUUUUUCUGCAGUGGAGAAAAAGGCUUACAACGUUAACAAAGCAUUCCCCAAUCAUAGCCAAGAUACAUGGCUGCUGGUGAGUCAUACCUUGAAAAACAGCAGCCAGAUUAUGAAUGAUUGAAACAUACUCUUUGAGACCUAUUUCCAUGAAUACAUUUGUGGUUUGAAUGAUAAUAUUUAAGCAGCCCAACAUGAGAGAACAAUAGAAAAAAUGGAAUCUUUGACUUUGAAUGGUGGAACUAUGCCAAUCACGUGUAAUGCGGCACUUUAAAAUACCCGUAUCUAAUUGAUACAUCAAUACUGAGUGUGUCCAGGAUGGGUUUAUACAGAGUGCAAGGCAAUGGAGUAACACUUUGAAAAUGGUUAAUCCUGUGCCUGUCCCGUGGACUGUCCUGAAAGUUAAGCCUUUUUAUCUUUGCACUUGGGAAAAGAAUGUCCAUAAAUACUUGGGCGUGAUGCAGACUUGUAAGAUUCCUCCAUGAGUGAAUGGCACUGCAGUAUGAUUCUUACUUGGUUCAAAGUUAGAAAUUCAGCUCCAGUUAUCACUGAAGUUAUCGAUGACCAUGCAACGUUUCUAACUUCAUGUAAACAAGAGACAGUUUUCUUCUCAGCAAACUUUUUGCUUUUUCAUGGUUUUAUUUUUUUAAAUACAUGUUUUUUUGCUUUUUAAAAUUUUUUUGGAAGCUUAGUAAUUUAUUUUGCUUGUGUUGUUUAUUAGAUUUACUUGUAUGUUUUACUCAACAUAAAAUGGCCCAAGUCAAUUUCAUUUGAGGUGUUUUUUCUGCAUAACUGUGUGCAAUUAAUCUUUUUCUUUUUAAACCAGCUCAUUUAGUUCUUGCUUCCGCCACAGCUACAUGGAAAUGAGAGACUUGACCUAUUUAUAAAAACAAGCCUUUUAGCAUUGUGAGUGAGGGGAAGAGAGAAUUUUAGAGUUUUUGGAGUUUACUUUACAAUUAGUUGCCAUUAGGGUUUGCUGGGGCACAUGUGAAUGAUAUUUUCCUUUUAACAGGAAAAUACGCAGUGGACUUGACAGGAAUUUCUUCCUCUCAUAGCCCCUAGUGCUUCCUAACCUUGUUAGUGCUCUCCAGAAUUUGACUUGGAGCUGAACAGGCCUCAGCUUUGUUGCAUAGAAAUUACAUGCGUGCUGGCAGAGCGUGUAGACUAUUCCACUUCACGUGCAUUCAGGCAAUAGGCGCAGAAAUUGAUUUAUGCAGGACUACAGUUAUUUCUAAUGUGACAUUUACCCCAGAACUAUGUUGGGUUGUUAGCACUGGAAAAAAAAAAAAACACAGUAUUUUCUUAAUGCUGCUCCGUAUUCAGUGCCUUGCUGGUACUUGUUGCAGAUGUUUCAGAUUACUGUCAAAACUUCAUUAUCAGUGAUAAUGUACUAAUGCAGUAAGUUGACAUACGGGUUGACCAAGUGACUAUUGCAAUGUGUAAUUAGGCUGGUGUCAUGUGAUACGUUGCCAGUGAUCCUGCACAGCCUUUACGUGAAAUUUGCCUGAGACUGAAUUGAUUUGCUGCAUUGUUCCCAUUCCCAGAGUGGCUGCUGCCAUUUUUGCAGGAUUCCUGUGGGGUGAUGUGAAUGCUGUAAGGGAGCUCCACGUUAUACCAUACAAAUACGUUUUCUUCCAGAUUUUCAUGUAAUAUUCAUGUUACUGGAAAUAAUAAUCUCAUUAUAGAAUUAGCAGUACAUAUAUAUCUGUCUAAUAAAUCACAUCCAAAUAUAUGGUGUUUAUAUUAUAAAUAAUACAUAUCCUUCUAUUACUAAUGUUUACUACUGUUAAGCCAUUUGAGAGCUCUGACAUUGCCCAAUUCCUAGCCUUGGUAAACAAAGAUAUUGUUUACAAAGAUGUGGGUCUGCAAAGUAAGAAACUGGAAUUUUAAUGGAUUCCUUCCAAUAGCUGUCAGUUUCUUCCUCUGAGUUUGAUAAUUGAAAGGUUUGUUGUUUUUUUUUUUUAUUUUUUCUUUUUUAAAAAAAAGGAAGAUGGUUUCAAUUAUCCAAAGCUGGCGGAAUGUUUAACUACCCUUCUGCUAUCAGUGGACUUGUUUACAUUAGGAUUUUGACUAAAUUGAGAUUGCACAUAUCCAGAUGUUAUCUGCCCGGGUGACUUUUUCAUUUGCUUUGGCAAAGAAUUUGAUGGUAUAUUGCUACCAUCUCUUUGUCAGUUUUCACUUUAUGUAUUGCAGGCUGCCCUCAGACUUUUCUUUUUUAAACAUUUUCCACAGAAUCAUUAACUCCUAAGCUUCUGCUGCUCCUUUCUAAAGGUAAAACCCCUAUUUUAUGGUAGGCUUGUCUGAAUAAUGAUUAAACACAGGGAAACUUUCUCAGUUGUACCCUUUGUGUGGCUAUGCAGGCAACUGAGCAAAUGCUGGGUUUUCUUUUUAGAUUUUGUAGCCUAUUUAUUUCAGUCUCCUGCACUUUGGGGAUGUGAUGGCCUUGCUCCAAGGCUAGAUUGCAGCCUUGCCAUUUGCCCCACGUGUGAAACAUACCAUUCUUAGGUUGCCCAGGGGCAGCAUGGGAGCCAAACUAGGGCUGAGAAAUGCAAACUUGAUCCCGACUGCAGCUUUUCUUUUUGGUUUACAUGAAAAAAGCCAAAGUCCCAGACAAGCGAACCUCAUAUCAAAAAGAUUUCUUUUUCUGGUUAUUGUUUUUCAUCUCUGCUUUGCUGUGCUCAGGGGCAGUGGUGUGCCUGAAAUGCAUCUACUCUGCAAUGCCCUUGUGUGAGAUGGGAAAGGAAAAGCUGUGCACCGGAACCGCUCUCCUGCCUGCUCACAGUGACCUGUUGUACCAGCAGCUUCUGCACAGGAGCAAAGGCUCCUCUAUAAAGUAGCCCACAGCACAAUAACGCUCCAUGGAAUAUCAACGGGGAAUCAGUGAAUACAUUAGCCCGGGCUACUUGGAAGUAGAACUGCAGUUGUGAGAAAUAGGAACGACUGAGCAAGAGGAUCAUUUAAUUCAUUACUGUAAUGUCAUUUUCCAGCACUGGUGGUGGUGGGGAGAAAUUACCUGGCCUGGAAACCUGCUACACAGAAUGUGCUCAGCGGAGAAGCAGAUUGAAUAGGGAAUUACAUUUUCUAUGUCUUUAGAGUGCUGAAGUGGGCAAAUGCUCAAGCUCAGCAGUGAUCGGGAGGAGUUGCAGCCAACAGAAACAGAGGUUUGAAAGUGUCAGACCCCAAACUCUGUCCUAGAGAAGCUGUCUAAUGACUUAUUUUUUCACGUUCAACCCCCAGACCUUCUGGUUGCAAAUUAAAGAGUUCAUGUUUGUACUCACAUGACUUCAGAUGCAUACAUCUUACAUUGGAUCUGAAUGGAGGUCCACUUAUUACUGUUUAUCCAGACACGGGUAGAGCUAAUCCUAUUUACAGGCCUUUAAAACGUGAGCUUUUUAUUGUAAGGCUGGCUUAUUUUAACUGCAGUAUUUAACCUCAGAAAUCUGUUUCUGGGUUGGUUUUUGUUUUUGGGGUAUUCCCCCCCCCCCCCCUUCCUUGAUUGUAUUUUAAAAAAUAUGAGGUUUUAAGUCAAUAAAAGCAAUGAAAAUGUGUACAUUCUUUGGAACGUAUGAUUCAAACAAAUCCAUGAUAUAACCAUACACAGUGGGAUUGGAACCAAGCUGUUUUUAAUUGUUAAUGCUGUUGACUUUGGUAAUGCCUGAAGACCAGCUUUGCUUGGUCAAGUAGAAACACAGAGAUGCGUUUGUAAUCUAAGCAGAUUAUAGAGUGUAACUGAAUUGUAGGGCCCGGUCGGAGGGGGAAUGUAAAGACCAUGUGCAAAGUAUGCGUCAGCAGAGCAUCAAGACGAAGAUCUAAAGGAACUGAUUCCACUUUGUUCUUCUGGCCUCUCUGAAGCCAUGUUGGUCACACGUACAGUUUUAUUUGUUUAUUUGUUUCUUUAUUUCGAGAGUGGAAUUUUAUUUUCAUUGAGUGAUUUUUAGAAAGGGGAGCAGGGCACGUGAACGUGGGGAAAAGCACAGAAACUGGUGUCUUCCCUCUAUCUUUAUGGUGGCAGUGAACGGCCUGAGUACAAAGAAAGGACAUAUGCAGAGGGAAAUUUACUUUUCAGGUCAGCAAAGCUUCCUGCAGGAGCUCUCGGUAUAUCAUUCUCCUGCUUGCUCCUUGCCACGUAUAUAAUUAAUUCAGGCUCAGUGACUGCUUUUUAGCUGAGCUCAGUGUUAGCUGCUGAUUCGGAGAGUGGGGCCAAGCUGUUGACUGCCGCUCUGUUUACUGUUAUCAGAUGUCUUCCCAGUGACUGAUAAUAGUUUAAUUGAAGAAAACAUGGGCUCUGCUGAAAACCCGAGAUUCCCCUGUUUGGGAAGUCUUGAGAAGAAGUGGGAUUUAGGCAGGAGCAAAGAAACCAGGGUUAGCUGUGGAUUCAGAUAGUUCUGAAGUUCAUGGAGGAGGCUGGCUGAGGACAGGGGACAGUGGUGUGUAGAAAGACAUUGCAGGGGGUUCUCCUAAGUUCCAGUGGACCUUUAAGAGUGAGGAAAGUUAUCCUAUGGGAUGGAAGGAAUUUUUUUUUUUUUUUUGUCUAUCUAAAAUAAAGAUUGCUAGGAUCCCUUUUCAAAGCCGUAUGUUAUGAGUGACAUCCCACUGAGGUACCUGAAGGGAGAGGGACUGUAACCCAGUGUGCCCAGUAGGAGAGAGCGCUGUGAGAAAAGAUGGGAUUAAAACAUCAGCUUGUUAAUUUCUUAGGAGAGGUCUUGUGAAGGACUGGGGAAGCUGGGGGUUAUCUCUGUCUGCAGCUCUUUCCAGAAGAGACUGAGCUGAUACUUAUUAAGACCAAAGGAAACCUGAGAGCAUGUGGGUGCAAAGCAUGUCUAGUUAUAACACAAGAGCUGCAGCUGACACUGUUUCCCAGAAAACUUGACAGGUUGAAAUAACAGUGGGAGACUUAUGAAAAGAGUGGAAAGAAAUCUUGUACAAAGAGCUGCAUGGCUGAUUGCAUCAGUGCCUUGAUGUCAGUAAGUCUUCACCAUGAGACGUGCGUGAAGGCUGCGGAGCAUGUAUACACAUAUGGUGGCAUAUUUAUGUCUUGUGAGGCAUCAUUAACAAUAACAACGGGUUUGUUUAAUAAAGACUUCUAGGAGUUAUAUUUCAAUAAAAUGAUCACUAUCAAUCUGUACCUGAGCACACUCGAUUUUCAAAAUCUAAUAUUCACCUCUGUGUUUCAUUUCACAUUUCAUUCCUGUUAGCAGGCAAAUGGAAUUAGACGGAUGCAAGAAAGCACAAGCUGUUUUUAUUUGAGGAAAGAAGGUCAAUUAUACAGUAUGAAAUGAGCAAAAUUCCAAGAGGCUUCAAGCCUUAGAAUCUCAAUUAUUAAUUACUUUGCCUCCCGAGUGUCUGUGCUGUUACAGACAAAGCAAAAUGAAAAGAAGUGCAGGGGUCAGGAGAGUGCCAGAAAACAGCACUCCGCAGCCCGCUGUGGAUUGGGGAAGACCACGGGUUGCAGGGUAGUUCAGUAAGCGUGCUCCACUGCCUGGAGCACUUCCAGUGCCUUUGCACAGAGUGAGUGGCCUGGGCUCAGCUGGGCCUCAGUGCUGUUUCCCAGGGUGGUCUGGGAGAGCCUUUGGCUGGAGCUGCAAGGAAGGACUCUGUUCCAGGCUGGCUUCCUUGUGCCCCUGCUCUUUCCUUUCUCAUGGUCUUUUCUUUGGGGCUUUUAAUGAAAAUGCUGUUAAACCAUCUUCUCUAGACUAGAUUCCAUAUUUGUUCCAGUAUUUUAUAAUUGCACCUACCUGUACCUAACAUUGUUUCCCAAAGUAAAAUGGGAAUCUGAGCAGUGUAAUGCAACUGCAGCGAGGACAAAAUAACGUAAGUUCACUGAAUGACAUUUGCUCUUACCUCUAAGACAAGAGCUUAAUUUCUUUACCCUUUCAUACUUCACAUUUUAAGUUCAGUGCGUAAGCUUUUUACUGUAGUGGAAAGUGGCACAAUCAGCACAUGCAUUCUGAAUCCUUCAGAACCAGGAAGCAUUGGUAUUUUUCUGUUGAGUUCAAAUCCUUUUUCACCUUUUCCUAAAAAUGUUUCCUCAGUUAAAAUUUGCUAUGCUUGUCUCCAGCGUGUGAAUGUUGCCUUGGAUCAUUUGCAAUGAGCAGCUGCAAGGAGAUCUCAGAAAGAGAGAAUAUGCUAAGUAAAUUAGUAGUUUAACUGCACAGCAGUCAGCAGUCUUUCAUCUGCAAUAUUGUGUGCUUGUCUCUGAAUUCGGGGUAAGUUUCCAUAGCUCCAGAAAGCUCCCAGUUUUGAUGUGUGGAAUUCCAAUGAGCAGGAACUUCUGACAGCAGCAUUUCCCAAUAUUUAACCUUCACAAUGUCACUAAAGGCAAGCUUAGAUUCCUCCCCUUCACCCCAUCACCCUUUAAAUUAUUUUCUUCUGUUAACAGCCACUGUUCAGCAAAUCAGCCAUCUGAAGGCAGGGAUUAGGAUUUAUUGUUGAACUAUGCUCAUGUGGAACACCUUAAUGUGAAAGUAACAUCCCUUGGCCUUCUUUAUGUGCAGAGGAUACGUUCUACGGAAACCAUGUAUUACCCAUACACCAGUUGUCUUGGUUUCCACUUGCUUCAACACCACUCUGACGCUGGAGAAUUUCAGGGUAAAGCAGCAGCCAUAUACCUCAACAUGGGUAAUUCCUGAAAUGUAGCCACUACCUGUUCUUAAGUAGGUAUUCCAUAUUUCAGCCUGUUAUUUGCUGCUGCAAUUGCAGGGCUUGGGGGUGUUUUUUUAGUUUGAUUUGGUGUUUGCUUGUUUGUUUCUCUAAGACUUUGUGUCUGUUUUCUUUAAGUCGAAAGAUAUUUAAAGCACUAUAGUAUAUACUGUAAUUUCAUGAUAAUUCAUGACAAGUAGUAGAAUAUGUUUGUUCCUAACAACUUGCCUGUUGUAAGGUAGCACAAACUAGUAGGAUAGCUAUGUGAAACUGGUGAGGAAAAGAACAACACUGUCAAAAACUGUGUUCAAAAUGCGUAUGGAAAGCCCAGCCUCUUUUGAGAUUGUCCUAUGCAGAAUUUCACUGCUCCCUCUUAAAAUAUGUAGGGCAGAGAAGCCCUGAAUUCAAUUCGCAGAUGAUAACAAUAGUCUGAACUGAGCAAAGCUUGUCCCGCUACCUACCUUGCAUAUCGGUUGUAUGAAUAGAGCAGAAUUAGUCCAUUGUGAACAAAAUGCUAGUAAUAAAGAUCACAGAAUAGAUAUUAACUUGUUCUAGCUUUCAGAAACUUCUGAAAAAGCAGAAGUUUUCAGAAUACCAAGUAGUUUCCUAGCUACCCUGUGAAAUGCCACUGUUCUGCUGCAAAAUAUAGUUUACCAAUCUUCUAAUUUUCUUGUUUAGGUACAUGCUGAGCUAUAAUUUAUCAUACUGAUUUGGAGGUUUAUCUGUUGCCUAAUGUAGGAAAAGCAGCAUGCUGUCACCUGUACCUCAUCCAUGACUAUCAGUAAACCAGGUGGUUGUCAAAGGGAAUAUUUUCAUUGUGUUGGUAACCAAGGGAUACAGUGUUUUCAGUAGUUUUGCCACAGCCUACACUGUUAAAAACAUAUCUAUGUCAUAUAUACCAUACAUAUAGCAUUAUUCAGAAAUAUUGGCUUUAAAAGAAAGACAACUUUAGAGAUUUUCUUCUAUCAGGGUAGUGGAUGGGAUGGUUCUACAUGAGCACUUGUGGGAUUUGUGGUAUAUUUUGCACUACAGCUGUUAAAAUGACUCACACAAGCGUCUGCAUCUGUGGAAGAAUUAUCCUACAGCAGUAAUAGCUCCGAAAUCUGUCAUUUUCCUGCUAGAAACUGGAAUUUGAAUGCAGCAUUCCAACUGCUAAUGGAUAUUCAGGGCCCUUCCGGAGAGAGUCUUGAUUAGUAGAUGACAGGCUAACAGGAGAGCUGUGUUUUAUGGUUAAGGGAGUUAAACCAAGCUCACGCUGCCUUUUGGAUGGAGGGCAGGCAGGAUCACUCAGAGCCUUCACAGGAAGUAGCUGGAGAGGAAUGCCACCAUGAUUGAUGAAGGCGGCCCAUUAUCAAACACUUUGUGCAAACUUUCUUCUAAGCAAAUCACAGCGCUUAUACAGCGCUCGAGUGGAGAAUUAAUGGUGGUUUUUUUUUUCCUGGAAAUAUGUCAAACAGCAUCCAAAAGGAAAAUUAAGAAGGAAAAUUGAAUGAUGAACUUAAACUCAUCACAUGGCAGAUGUUCCCUUUGAGUGUAUCUGCAUUUAUUGCUUGGUAAAUAACAUUUUGCUCAUGAAAAAGAGCCACAUAAGUUACAAGCUUUUUCUCUGAAGUAAAUUUGUAUAUAAGUUGGUUAUUUUCAUCUGACUUCCAAUAUUGUGAUUUUCUUUUCUUAUCCUUUCAUUUUCUCUUCUUGCUUGCUGUUAGCAUUUGAGGGGUUGUCUGUCCCCUGUGUAAGGAAAUCCAAGACAGGGCAACAAUAAUUUUUUGUUCUUUCAGAUAGAAAGAUGUGAAGGCGUUUGGGCUCGCAGAGUUCAUUUCACAAAUCCUUCCAAGCAAGAACAGCACAAGCAGCCAUCCCGAGCUUUACAGAUUGCACAAUCCCAGGGAGUGCGGCAGCCUGGCAUGCAAAAAGGGAUGCAUUAUCCCUGAUUGAUGUAGCUGGGACUUGUUCUAUUGAAUGGCUCUGUACAUCAGGUUCAAGGUUUUCAACACUAACAGAUGUGGGCUGGAAUCUACUAGGACCUUACAAUAAUAUCCACAAGGAACUGUGCAAGCAAAUGAACCCCUUCUAGUUACAGAAAUGCUAUUAAAUGUUUCUGAGCAGCCAUGUUUUGCACAAGCUUGAACCUCCACAAUGCUUCUAGGGACUCAAUGUAGUGAGUGUCUGAAUCAGUGCUGAGGGGACACUAUCUGUGAAUAAAGGAUCAAGUUUUAAGCCACAUGCAGGCUGGAGAAUAGCUUUCUGUAGGUAAUUAUUCUGGCUAAUCAUCCUUAUUAAAUUAUGACUAAAGCAUGAUUCUAAGAUUCCCAUCAUGCUGAAAGCAAAGGUGGGGAAGCUGGAAAGGAAAGAUGGGAAGAUGCUAGCUGGAAUGGGAAGACACUCCUUCCCCAGGAAGUCCUCUAUAGAAAUAUUCAUGGGCUCAUUCAGGUUUAUUUUCUGCCAGGUGUUCUUUUGUGCAGGAAACUGAUACUCCCAGCAGUCCUGAAUAAUGAGGAUUUAUACAUCUUCUUUUAGACUGUGAAAUCACUUGUGAUCUGUGAGACAGAAGGGAGAUCAGGCUGAGCUCCUUUUAUCUGACACCAUGUUUCUGUGACCUACAUGUCUUGUGGCAGAUACCUUGAGUGUCCUAAUGCGUUGGCCUCCAUAUCUAUAGACUGAAGUACGUGGUACGCCAAGCCAUGCUAAGUGUUGGUUACCUGGGUGAGCUGUGUAGGGAUCCCAAGUAGGCCAGAAUUCAGAGGGUAAAGUGCACCAUUGCUGCCUUAAGGUAAGCUAGCUGAAAACAGCUGAAAAUGUUGCCACUAUUCAGAUAGCAUUCAGCAGCUGUCUCGUUGGCUCCGUACAAAAGUUCCCUGUAUGGCUUCCCGAGUCACAUAACAUGUGCAAUACAAUUUGAAGUGUGGUAAAGGUCCUUUAGAAAUUUCUUUAAUAGAACAAAAUGAAAGAAUCUAAAGUUCAAAGACCUCGGAGGCUAAUACAGAAAUUUUCCUUGCAAAUAUAAGUACUGGAAGAUAAUCCCAGAAAAGAUCAGAGAUGUUUGUCACGAAAUCUUUGCUGAAAAUCUAGUGGCUGAAGGCUUACAUAUAUCUCAUGUUUCCUUGCAAGAGAGGCUGAAUGUCUAGCGGGAGGUAGGCCGUUCUUUCAGUGGCACUACAAAGAAGCUUGUCUUUGGAUUACCUCCCUAAAUAUAAGCAUUUAACAUUCUGCUCCAUUUUCUGGUGUGUAUUUGUAACCUCCAUCAGAUGCAGACAAGGUUUCAUGGGGGCAACUUUUUCCCUCUUAUGCAUCAUUCAGCCUGGAGAAUUCCAAAUUUCUGUAUUACCCAAGUCUAGCUUAAAGGUAACCCUGUGUUCCUAUCCCCAAGAAGUUCUUUCAUUAACGUUCUCCCUUCUUUCACCACGUUGCCAUGUGACUGCAUGUCACCUGGAGCUGUUCUCAUCACCUCUUAGCUCUCUUGCACACUCCAUUAUCUUUUCCUUUUUUUUGCUCAAUGCUUUCUGAAGUUUAUUUGCUCAUCCUUCUCCGGGGCUCUGGCUCUGCAAGGCUUAAACUAUAUGGUCAAAAUGAUUCCUUUCUGAAUGGGUCAGUUAAUCUGGUCUCCACAUGCUCAGGCAUAUGCUGUUGUCUUUCAAAAGCUUAUACCUGUCUCCUGUAGCACUAAAUUUGCAUUGUAAUGCAUUAAUUGUUAAAACAUUGUGCAUUAAUUGUUAAAACAUCGUUAAAGUUAUUUAAGCAGCUAGCAGUAUCCUUGCUUUCUGGAUGGAGACGUAUGGAUAAAAGGAGAGGCUGUUCACACGACAGGAUUUCGGGUGAUAACUUAUUGUGUUUUUUAUCCCUAAGAUUUAGACUCUUUGCAUCCAUUGUGCCUUUGAAAACUGCUCUAGAAGCAGAGUACCCAGAGCAGCGUGUAAAUACUGCAGUGGGAAGCACCAUGCCCGUGCUCAGCACUGUGCUGGUUAUCAUUGUCACAGGUGGGCAGCGCGGCUGACGGUCAGCUCUGACAAGCAGGCAGGAGAGCCUGGAGCUGAGGGACCAGCAGCCACUGAGCUACUCUGCUCUGGCUAGAGAUGGAAAGCCUUUUCUAAAAGCAAAGUGACAACAGGUGGUUUUUGAGAGAUUGACGUGGGCUGGCACAACAAAAGCCUUUCAUGCUGUUCGUGUGUAUACAUUUAAGGCUGUUUUAAAACUUUAAGUGAGAGCUGGGACGAUCUGCAACAGAUGUCCCCAAACCAACAUACAUUUUAUCAGCCAAGGGGCUCUCCUGUCCUUGCCUGCUCUCUAGGAAUCCCUGGAAGGUUGUCUGAUUUUAGUUUUGGUUUCAAGAUGUGCAUUCCAACCACGAGUUGCACGUGCAAAUGCUUGGAGCACUUUCAGGGUCAGUCUGUGUGGAGUGAGGAUGAGGAAGGAGGGAGCAUGAGGUACCCUUUGCUUAGCAUAGUCUGUCCCAACAGCACAGAGGGCAAUAAAUGAACUCAAAAGAAGCUUUUAGAAGAGUGCUGCAUUACUGGGUAGUGGCCAAAUCCUCUCUGUUCUGCUUGACUCUGUUUGAUUUCUAACAUUUAUUAGCGCUUUGAAAUUUGUAAGCGACUUUGUCUUUUAACUUUUAAUACUGUUUCCCAACUACGAUGGCCAGGCCUUGGGCUUCAGUAUCUUCUGGCAGAUUCUGCCACUUAAAUGUCUUAUGAGGUACCUCUCCUGCUUGAACCUUCAACAAAGGAUUGCGGUGGGGGGAAAUAAAGGUUUGGAACUUCUCUCUCUCUCUUUUUUUUUUUAUAGUUCUGUUUAAUCCGACCUCUCCCUAGAGCUGUCUUUAAUUUCAGGAGGCAUGUGGCAGAAAUACCAUGUGUUUAUUGUCUGAUACAGUGGAAUUUCCCAUGAGAGUAGUUUGUCUCUCCUUUCGAAGUGAAGGAUAGCAGUAAAACAAGGAGGAGCCAGUUGUUACAGUACCAUUUUAUAUCAAUGUAGUUAGCUACUUCAGAUUCCACCUCACUCCUGCCAUUAAGACUGCAAAAUUACCAGGUAAAACAGGAUGUGGGCCUGCUAUCUGUGUGCAAUGAGAACAGAAGGUUUUCUACAAAUAAAUGUUCAGAGGAAAUUUAAAGAGACUUAAGAUGUGUCUUUAACCAUUUCAGCUUUUCUAGCCCAUACACAUUCAAUCUACAGCCUACAAGAUCUGGAGUAUUACCCUGCUCCUUCCUUUUUGCUGCCAGCACUUCAUGCCCACAGCCAUACUUCUUCCACCAGCAACGCUUUCUCCUGUAUCCAUAUUCCCACACAAUGCCCCUUUCCUACCUCACUCAUACAGUCAUACUGUCUUCUACUUCCCACUACUUCUUUGCAAUUCUCAUAAUUUCUGCUUAAUUGAAAAACAAACAAACAAAGCAAACAAACAACUCCAACACCUGUGCAUGGGAUCAUAAACAGAUUUUCUACAGCACUUUCCUUAUCCUGCUUCUGAUAGGAAGACUUCCAGUUUAAAUAAUCUUUACUUACAAAAUUCAUUUUCUGCUAGAUUAGAUUCAAUUUGUGUUCUUCAUCCUUCUCACUCUCCAUGUAUAAAAGAUGGUGAUUUUUUCUUGCACCCAUUCUGGUGUAUUACUAGGGAGCUUUCACAAACGGCAAUAACAAAAGGCCUUGUAUAGAGAGCGUUGUCUAAAAUAGAAAUACAGAUUUUGAUUAGUUAUUCCUUCUAGCAGUAACUAGCUGAUUUGUUUCUGAUGCCAGGCUUUGUCAGUUCUGCUUGAUUGUAGGACCAUUAUGUGCACCUGAAGAAGACCCAAACCUUAGUGCUUCAAAUUGCCACCUGGUGGUACUGCACGUUGAAUGUACCGUUCGGUCUAUGGCAACAUCCAAAAAUAAAAUCCUGUCUAGAUGACAGCUUUGUGAAUGACAGAAGAUGAUCUUGAUGUUCAAACAAAGCAUCAUCAUCCUGGCUUGUGAUUUAAAUUUUAUGUUUAUAAAUGCAAAAAAAAUUGCAAAGAUUUUGCAAACCACUGCCUAUUUCAAUUUAUUUAUGUGACAUUUUUGUUUCCUCUUUUUUGACAGCUAGCCCUUCACAUUUGCUCACAAAUAACUUAAAAAAUCAGAUCCAUAUGACUUCUUUCAGACAACCUCUUUAGAAUCUACUUAAUGAUAAACAGAAGGGAGGUUCAGAUGGUUUGAAUAUAAGUUCACUUCUGAAUAAUCAUGUAUUUAAUUGCACUGCUAAAUUGAGCAAUGGCUUCCAGUCAGCAAUCGCAUGUAAGUGUCUCUCUGCUUGACUUCACAUUUGGGUGAGUUUUUGUUGGGCGUGGGGGACUGAUCCAACAGAAGGAAACUUUGGAAGGCAUGCUAGGAGCACCAUGACACACAAAAGGCAAGCUAAAUAUGGGGAGAGUCAUUAGUGCCUAUUACAGGCUGUAGAAGGAAGGAGAGGAAAAGGGGAGAAAUGGGUCUUUUGUGGAAUGGAGGAAUACUCAAAGCUUUGCCACUUGUGGGGGGAGCUGCUGGCAGAGGGCAGUGGGGAAGGCCCCAGGUGUUGUAGCUGCACAGGUGAUGCUGAUUGAGCAGAGGGUAGUGAUCAGCAGCUGGUAGGGUGCAGCUGUGAAAAAGGGAUACAUGUAGGCUGCAGUGCUUCAGGGGAUGGCCAGUAAGUGCCAGGAAGGUGACUGCCUGAUCUGUAGUGUAUGAGUUGGAUUCUCUGCUUUUGAAAAAGGAUUUCUUUGGAACAGCCUUGCGCAGCAAGUACAAGAGGCCCCUCUUCACUAUGCUCCCAUGUGCUAACUGGAUGCUAGUACGGACUGCUUCUGCCAGUUAACGUCAUGUUAAGGGAGAGCAAUUUAUCAAGGAAGUCAUGUGAGAAACCUUCUGUGUCAAAUGGUAAGUGUGAGCUUGUUCUUCAGAUUUGUCUCUCCUGCUGCUGUUUUACUGGAGAAGUUUAGUCUUGAAUUGGCUUGGGUACUCUAGUAAAAGGGUUGAGCUUAGCAGGCAAAAGGCAAGGAAGAAUAUUUACUAAAAAUAAUGACUAGUGAUUUAGUUAUUUUUGGUAGGUGCUGUUUACUUCAUUGUUUUCUGAUGUUGUGGUGUGAGUAAAUUGUACGUAAUUUAGUUCAGUGCAGUUAUACAAGUUCAUCUAGUUCUUGAUAUUGUAUUUAGAGUCCCCAACAAGUUAUGGAAUAUAGCAAGUAUUCUUUUUUUAAAAAAAGCACUCCAGCAGAGUUAAGUAUGUUGUUAUGCCCUUAAUUUUGUCUUUUUCUUUCUGCGUGCAAUCAUUUCUAUUAUUUUGCCAUCAUUACGUGGUGUAAUGGGAGUAAGCUGAAACACUCGAAGCACAGAAUUGUGUUCGUAGAGAGAUUUUUUAGAAGGAAAUGAAUUGUGGUGGAUUAUUAUCCAAAGUACACCAGCAUACACACAGUAUCUUCCCUGUUAAGUGGUACAACAAAUGUAUUCAUAAUUAAAUGUGUGAUGCAUGGAGUAAUUCUCAGGGGAACCAUUUCAUAUCAUUAAUUUCUAAUAACUGAAUUACUCUAUAAUAUCAUAUCACAAAGAAGAUAAGUACUUUGAAUGGUAGUGGCUAAUUCUUCCGCUCCAUAUCAAGAACACAUCCAUACAGAAGUGGCUUCUUGCAGGGGGGAAUGAUGCCAGUGAAACGUUGCAUCCUAUUUGAACCAAUAAUGCAGGGUUUCUUCCUCCGGGUCUCUAUUAGGAGUGCCAAAGAGUGUGUGAUUUGGGUCCAGUUAUGAUUUUAUUUAUGUUUUUGCAGCUUCUGGGUCUGAGUAACAAAAGAAUUCGGCUUCUUAUUAUUUUCAGCUCACUUUGAAAUCACAGUACAUGAGAAUUCUUUGAAGUAAGUCUUCAGCAAGCUGCUGAAAGUAACACUUUUUCAUUAAAACAUAAGUCUUCUGGCUUACAGUAUAUUCAAGUUCCUUGUACGCUCUGUAAGAGCUAAUAGGAGGCCUGAUUAAAAAUGCAGAGAGCUUGUCAGAGUGCAAGAGGAGAUUUACACAGCUUCUGGGCAGCUUUCUACACAGAAAACUGAGGCUUUCCUUUCACGGUGUUAUUUUACUUCUUCCAUUUCUCCCCACCUACUUUUCCGUUAUCUCGUAUGGUGCUGGUCAUAACAAUGGAUAUAUGGUGAAUGUCAGUUAAAAGCCAAGUCCCUGUCUAUUAUAACUAAUGAAAAUAUAUUGAAUUUAAUAUAGCUGGUUGGAGAUGUUAGUUUCUGACAGUAAAUGAUGGCUCAUAAUAAUUAUGGUCAUUAUCAUGCAAGUUCAGUGUGUUCUUCAAGCUCAAGGUACUACUAGUAUUUGAGACUUGAGAAAAAUACCCCAAACCUUAAGCUUUUUUUUUUUGAAGAAAAAACUAAGCCUUUUUGUAAUGCUGCUGCUUGGGCUAACCUCUGUGUGAAAACGUCGUCCAUAUGCAGCUCAGUAAGCUGGGAAGGGACUAUUGGGCUUUUGUGGGGAGCUGGAGGAAUUGUGGCAUGUCGACUUAGUUCAUUUUUUGCUUCUUCCCCAUCUUUUUAAUCUUACUUUUCUCUCCAUUUCAUAUGUGUUUGGAGGAUGGACGGAGGGUCAGCACAGCUGGUUCAGGAUUUGGGGCCACAAAGGUCCUCAUUGGGUGUAUGGGAGGAGAUGAAGGACAAAGAACAGAGAGCUAAGCAGAGCUUUUCUGAGUUGUUAGGAUAUAAGUCAAAAUACUUCAGUUUUUCUGUUCUUGAAAUUAAGUGGAAAGAGGAGUUCCCAUGAAAAAAAAAAAUACCUUUUUUUUUAUUGUGAUAAAUCAAAGAAGUGAGGCCAGCCAGAAUUUCUUAAAGUAAAGGAAAAGGCUCUUUCCUACAGCAGGAAAAAACCAAGCAAACUAAAAGCUUAUUUGUUUUCAAUCCAGGAGUGGGGGUUUGGGGAGGAAAGCGUAUCUGUUUAUAGUGGGAGGGAACCCAGGCUGCUCGUUCUUUCCUCCCAGGCAGCUGGCAGAAGCUGUUCCACCUUGAAUUAUUCUCAGUGACUUUAUGCAGGGAUGUGGUCUGGUGUGGACUUCUGUUAUGCUGCUCGUUUCUUUCAUAGAAGUUUGCACAUAACAUUUAAUGUUGUUAUUACUUUGUAGACGUGCUAAUAGCUUAGUAAUGCAUUUUCAGUGUUUAUCCAAGGAAAAAUUCUAUAGAAAUGUAAAUUUCUCAGUUGCUCUUUCUGAAAUGUGUGUUUUUAGAACUCCAGAAGUAUGGCCCAUAGGAUGUUACUUCUGCUUCAUGUUCUGCCUCUUCCAGUACGUUAAAUAAUUUGAGCUAUUUAAAAUAUGGAGUGGGAAUUCCCAGAGGUCUUAUGGAAAAUAUUAUCCUGAAGCUGAAUGUAAGCUAAUUAUCCUUUUUUAAUAAAUCAAGUUGUUUUUUAAACAAAACGGAGGAAAAAAAAAAGGGGUGUUGGACAAAAUGCUUUGCCUUGUGAGGCUAAGUGGGAUUUUUGCGUCUUCCGGCCAAUUUCAAACAAUUACUGACUUUAAAAGCAAAAUUGGCUCAAAAUACAGCUUAAGUAUUUUACCUAGAAGUUCAGGGAGAGCCAGGUGAUGUUUCAUUUCAUAAAUGCACAGCUGUAUAUGUUUGCUGGCUUGUUUAGUGGUGAUCAGUGUAAGUCAACAGAUGAGAAGCACGUUGAGAUGUGGUGCUGCAAGAUGAGAGCCAAACUCUUCCCAAGAGUGCUUAUGACCUGGAAGUGGGGUGGGUGAUUUCAUGGGUGUUUGAUUACUGUUGGUUGGGGUGAGCAGAAGAGGAAAGACUAGGUUUAAAAACAAGAGGAAAGAGGAAUACGCAUGGAGUGGCAGAGUAAUGUCAAGAUGAGGUGCUGCAUUGAAGGUAGGAGACAACUCAGAGCAGGGAUGACUUUCUGAGCCAAUGCAAUCGUUCCCUCCAUGAACUACUCUGCAGUUUCUGCUAGGUUUGCUCUGCCAGCUAUCAUCUCCAUCUGUUUCUUUUCCAAGGAAGGAGUUUGUGCAUCUCCUGUGAUGAUACGUUAAGGGCUGAGCUUCUUGUUUGGUUAUUUUAAAAAUGCCAAAAUGUAACAACUAAAAACCCUUCAAAGCUUAGGAACUUGUUAUCUUAAAAUGACAAAAUGAAGGAAUUUCUCUGUAGUGAAAUUCAGCUGUCCUGUACAAAACACACAGGAGGAAGAGCACAAGAGCAUAGCUUUAGCUUAGUGCAGUUUUUCAUUGUUGCACUUCCCUGAACUCAACAGGAGAAAUGGUUUGAGGUGCUGUCACCUGUAACUUCUGUCUUACAGAGGAAGAAUUUCUGGGAUCCUAUCGUAAGAAAACCUUGGGGUGUAUUGGCUAUCAAGACCAGUGGUCCAAGUCAAUCUCUUAGCAGCUGCUGAAGGCUAAUACCUGAAUACUGAUGUCUUUCUGAAAUUGGACUUUGGACCGUUAUUCCUUUUUCUGGUUUUUAUUCUUUUUUUUAAUCAGUCCAUGAUAGCAGUAAUUCAGAUACAGUAAUGUACAACUCCAACUGUCAAACCAAUUACAUUCUACAUUCUUCUAAAAAUGUAAAAGGCUGGAAAUGUUGUACCUGCUUGUUAAAUAUUUCCAGGAAGCUAUCAUGCUUUUUGUCAAAGCUCCCUGAUUUCACAAAAUGUUUGUGUGAGUAAUGGACUAGAUUACUUCUAGGAUGUGAAAACAGCAUUUAUAAUUUUCUUUAGUAAGUUCAGCUCACGU